rnacentral:lncRNA from 1 species
AUCAUCACCAGUGUUGUCAUCGGCGGCUUGGGGUCUCAUAUGAGAUGAAUUAGGUGUCCCCUACAUCAUAGAAUUAAUUUAGACACACCAGGAGAGCUUAUGGAGUAUUUUCUUUUAAAAGAAAAAUAGCAAAAUAAGUAGUAGUUAACUGUACAAUAAACUGGAUAUGUUCCUCAGUUGGUAAAGGAAUUGUUGAGACUGAAAAUAUACAAUAUUCUAAGUAUAUAUCUAGAUAUGAGGACGUACAGUCCUGUAGCACAGGAAUGAUACAAAGGUUAAAAUUAUUUCUUUAAAAUCUUCUCAUGGACUGGAUUGGCAUUGUAGCUUAGGGUUGUGUGUCAGUUUAAUAUAAUAUAAAAUUAAUCCCGAGCAGGCCUAGUACAAGAAUAAUUUUAGCUGAUGGUUAAGAAAAUCGGGUUUGCACAACAUUAACUUGGCACAAAACCUCAAGAAAACAUAAAUGGAUCCAACCACGCUGAGUGUAGGUUUGGGUGCACCAUGGUCCAGAAAAUCAUGUGUGUAUAGAUAUUCCAAUGAUUAAAAUACGAAGCUUUAAGAUAUCAAUGUUGCAAUUGGGAAAUGCAGUAUGCCGAGAAGGCUAUGUGCAAAAACUUACAUGUGGUUGGGAACUCGCUCCUUGGUGUAGCUCCGUUGGUAGUUCUUUUCCCAUCUCCUUAAAAAGGGCCUAUGAAAAAAAUAUGCAUCAGUAGAAUAGCUAGUUUUUUCAAUCACCAAUCUGAAAUAUGUGGACAAAUUUGAAAGUACCACUAGGAUCCGUUCAUGCAUAUCCACUUUAUGUUGCAGGUUCUCAUUAUGUCGCUGGAGGUUCUCAUUAUGUCACUUCAGCUCGUCAUUUUCUUGAACAGUUCGUCGAUGUUCUGCUGAAGUUGACGGCCUCAAUUUCUUUUCUCUAGCUAUUGAGAUAACAUCAGUCUUCUUAAUCGCCCCAUCUGUUAUUGCUAGUCCCCCAUGGGGAAUGCCACCAGAUGAUUCAUAUAAUAUUUGCCCAUCCAACUCUCGCUGCUCCCAAUCAUCAGGAUGUGCGGCUCUAGCCAAAUCAGAGUAAUCAUCCUAGAAAACUAGCGGUAUUAACUUGUAUAGAUGCAUGUAGAACAAGUACUUAGUGAAAAGAAGAUAAGCAAGAACAUACAUAGCUAGUUUUUUCAAUCACCAAUCUGAAAUAUGUGGACAAACUUGAAAGUACCACUAGGAUCCGUUCAUGCAUAUCCACUUUAUGUUGCAGGUUCUCAUUAUGUCGCUGCAGGUUCUCAUUAUGUCGCUUCAGCUCGUCAUUUUUUUGAACAGUUCGUCGAUGUGCUGCUGAAGUUGACGGCCUCAAUUUCUUUUCUCUAGCUGUUGAGAUAACAUCAGUCUUCUUAAUCGCCCCAUCUGUUAUUGCUAGUCCCCCAUGGGGAAUGCCACCAGAUGAUUCAUAUAAUAUUUCCCCAUCCAACUCUCGCUGCUCCCAAUCAUCAGGAUGUGCGGCUCUAGCCAAAUCAGAGUAAUCAUCCUAGAAAACUAGCGGUAUUAACUUGUAUAGAUGCAUGUAGAACAAGUACUUCGUGAAAAGAAGAUAAGCAAGAACGUACAUAGCUAGUUUUUUCAAUCACCAAUCUGAAAUAUGUGGACAAACUUGAAAGUACCACUAGGAUCCGUUCAUGCAUAUCCACUUUAUGUUGCAGGUUCUCAUUAUGUCGCUUCAGCUCAUCAUUUUCUUGAACAGUUCGUCGAUGUGCUGCUGGAGUUGACGGCCUCAAUUUCUUUUCUCUAGCUGUUGAGAUAACAUCAGUCUUCUUAAUCGCCCCAUCUGUUAUUGCUAGUCCCCCAUGGGGAAUGCCACCAGAUGAUUCAUAUAAUAUUUGCCCAUCCAACUCUCGCUGCUCCCAAUCAUCAGGAUGUGCGGCUCUAGCCAAAUCAGAGUAAUCAUCCUAGAAAAUUAGCGAUAUUAACUUGUAUAGAUGCAUGUAGAACAAGUACUUAGUGAAAAGAAGAUAAGCAAGAACGUACAAAGCGUUUUUUUGCCUUCCCGCUGAGGGUCGUGCUGGUGCUACCACUGCCAUCCCAAUUCUUGAGUCCAGAUUUCAUUGCAGCAUAUGUAUUCAACGUGGUAGCCUUCUCAGGUCCAUAUUUCUCAGCCUUCAAAACCAUAAAAAUUAAAUUAAUCAUAACCUGUUACAGUUUAUGAAAGAUAACAUACAUGCUCCACGCACCAGAAUUUGUUGAGCCUCCACAAAUGGAAGUGAACCUCCCCGAUUUUGAGCAAUGAUACGUCUCCAACGUAUCUAUAAUUUUUGAUUGUUCCAUGCUAUUAUAUUACCCCUUUUGGAUGUUUAUGGGCUUUAUUUUACACAUUUAUAUCAUUUUCGGGACUAACCUACUAACCGGAGGCCCAGCCCGUAUUGCUGUUUUUUUUGCCUAUUUCAGUAUUUCGAAGAAAAGGAAUAUCAAACGGAGUCCAAACGGAAUGAAACCUUCGGGAGCGUGAUUUUUGGAACGAUCGUGAUCCAGAGGACUUGGAGUGCAAGUCAAGAAGCAGCCGAGGUGGCCACGAGAGGGUAGGGCGCCCCCCCCCCUACAGGGCGCGCCCCCUGUCUCGUGGGCCCCUCGGGAUGCCACCGACGUACUUCUUCCUCCUACAUAAACCUACGUACCCCGAAAACAUCCAGGGAGCCACCGAAACACAAUUUCCACCGCCGUAACCUUCUGUAUCCGCGAGAUCCCAUCUUGGAGCCUUCGUCGGCGCUCUGCUGGAGGGGGAAUCGACCACAGAGGGCUUCUACAUCAACAUCAUAGCCCCUCCGAUGAGUUGUGAGUAGUUUACCACAGACCUUCGGGUCCAUAGUUAUUAGUUAGAUGGCUUCUUCUCUCUUUUUGGAUCUCAAUACAAUGUUCUCCCCCUCUCUUGUGCAGAUCUAUUCGAUGUAAACUCUUUUUGCGGUGUGUUUGUCGAGAUCCGAUAAAUUGUGGGUUUAUGAUCAAGUUUAUCUAUGAGAAAUAUUUGAAUCUCCUCUGAAUUCUUUUAUGUAUGAUUGAGUUAUCUUUGCAAGUCUCUUCGAAUUAUCAGUUUGGUUUGGCCUACUAGAUUGAUCUUUCUUGCCAUUGGAGAAGUGCUUAGCUUUGGGUUCAAUCUUGUGGUGUCCUUACCCAGUGACAGAAAGGGUUGCAAGGCACGUAUUGUAUUGUUGCCAUCGAGGGUAAAAAGAUGGGGUUUAUAUCAUAUUGCAUGAGUUUAUCCCCCUACAUCAUGUCAUCUUGCUUAAUGCGUUACUCUGUUCUUAUGAACUUAAUACUCCAGAUGCAGGCAGGAGUCGGUCAACAUGUGGAGUAAUAGUAGUAGAUGCAGGCAGGAGUCGGUCUACUUGUUGCGGACGUGAUGCCUAUAUACAUGAUCAUGCCUAGAUAAUCUCAUAAUUAUUCGCUUUUUUAUCAAUUGCUCAACAGUAAUUUGUUCACCCACCAUAAUACUUAUGCUAUCUCGAGUGAAACCUAUGGCCCCCGGGUCUAUCUAUUAUCAUAUUUGCUUUCAAUUUACUUUUAUUUUGCAUCUUUACUUUCUGCAUCUAUCUUAUAAAAUACCAAAAAUAUAUUUAUCUUAUCUUACUAUCUCUAUUAGAUCUCACUUCUGCAAGUGGCCGUGAAGGGAUUGACAACCCCUUUAUUGCGUUGGUUGCGAGUUCUUUGUUUGUUUGUAUAGGUGCGUGAGACUUUUGAGGAGCCUCCAACUGGAUUGAUACCUUGGUUCUCAAAAACUGAGGGAAAUACUUACGCUACUAUUGCUGCAUCACCCUUUCCUCUUCAAGGAGAACCAACGCAAGCUCAAGACGUAGCAAGAAGGAUUUAUGGCGCCGUUGCCGGGGAGGCUUCCACCAAGUCAAGUCAAGAUUCGACCUCCCGCCAACGUGCGAUUUCUGGCGCCGAUGCCGGGGAGGUCUUCGCUCAAGUCAAGACAUACGAAGUACCCAUCACAAACCCAUCUUCCUUGCAUUUACAUUAUUUGCCAUUUGCCUCUCGUUUUCCUCUCCCCCACUUCACCCUUGCCGUUUUAUUCACCCUCUCUUUCCCAAUCUCCUCCUCUCUUUUCGCUUGCCUUUUUCUGUUUGCUUGUGUGCUUGUUUGUCCUUAUGGCUUUACCUAAAAGUACCGACCACCUUCUGACAAGGAUGGAAGAGAUUGAUUCAAAUAUUAGAAGCUUUAUGAAUUUGCAAUUCGAGCAUAAUAAUUUCUUUAGAAAAGAGCUUAAGGAACAAAAAGGUUUUUUUGGGGUUUAUGAACAAAGAGCUUGAUGUAUGAAUAAAGAAUUUUAUGGUGUGAACUCUCAAAUUGCCCGUCUUGAAAAUGGUAUAGCCAAAAUUUCUGAUAAGCAAGCCACCUUAGUCAAUAAGAUGGCCGCAAAACCAGAAAAGUUAGAUGAAAAUAAUGAUGAAGAUCUUAAAGUUACUAGUAGAACGCCCGUGCGUUGUCACGGGCCUUUUAAUGUUUUUCGAUUACACAUAUAUACUUGUAUUGUUGUAUUUAAAAAAAAGUUAUAUUAUUGUAUAAACUUAAUGAUUUUUGGCCCCUUUCAAUGGCAUCGCCUUGGAACCCUUGUUGCUUGAUUAUUUUUAAACAUCGCCAUAAUCUAUACCCAUCUCUCGUAUAAUAUGCAAAAAUAAACAUAUAUACAAAUACACCUUUUAUAUUAUCAUACGCAACAUAUAUACAGAAGAACAAUUAUUUGUAUGUAUCUAUUCUGAUUGUGUAAGACUUGAUUAAUUUUUAGUCCUAUUCAUCGUAGUUACGUCAGUAACUUUGUCAAUCAACAUUUUCAAAGCAUCAUCCGAAAUAAGCUCAUGAUAAACUCCAAUCAGCCCCUGUCGUAUACAGUACUAUAUACUUCAAGUGACAAUUUUUUUAGCAGGAAAAAGAUUCGUAACCCACACAUGAUCAGACACUACAGCAGUCGCUAGUCCCCAAAAUAAUGGAUACAGGCCCUCACAUUACGGAUGAGUCCAACACAUAGUUUCACACGAAGUGAUCUCUUGUAAUAUGAUACUAUUGUUUGGGGGCUGUAAUAUGAUACUCUUUUGACCCACUUCUCUGCUUGAAAUAAGUUACACCAUCAAUCAAAAGGGAGGCCCAACAGAAGGUUUAGACAGACUAUUUGGCCACUUAUAAAUGGAGAAACUUUACUAAUGUAAUUCUUCAACUUGAAGUACCUGCACACAGUAAAACCUAUAAUCACUCAAAUAGAAAUAUGAAAAAUGCUUUGAUUUGUCACUCAAUAUGAUUUUUAGGAAGUUUGUGAUUUGUGGAUCUGCAGAGAAUAAGUAUGAUUGCUGCAUUGGGAAAGUAUGGACUGCUGCAUGCUGAAUAAACUUGGCUGGAAAUAUACCUAACCGACCGUGGUACUACUAACUAUAGAUGAAAGAUUUGAACCUGCAGACUUUCCUAUUCGAGAACAUCCAUUAUAAUGGACAAACAUAUUGUAGACACAAAGAAACAAUUAAUUUUAGGCAUAAUGAUAGGACCUACUAUCUAACAAAGUUUAAUGAGUAUACAUCAAGCUUUGCACAACCAUAUAGGAAGAGCAUAAGUAGUAUGGCGGUGCUUGGUAGACUACAACAAAAUCAUGUCUGAAGUGGAUAGAGAAACUAAAUAUGUGCGACAAGACACAACCGCUCCAUUCAGAGAUUAUGUAAUAGUCUCUUUUCAGAGAUUAUGUAAUAGUUGCAACGCACAGCCACGGUUAUAUACAAAUGAUAUUUAUACACGGUGAGCUCAAUAUCCAAUCUGUAUAGUAAUAAAGUGUAAUCAACACCAUGAAAAUCAUCCAAUGAGAGAUAGGAUUAUUAGGUAAAACUGACAAGUGACACACCAUUUUUUGUACUAAAGUUUAGUUACAAAGUGCAAGAUGUAAUCCAUGCAUGCCAUGAUUUACAAUGAGAUAUCUUAUUUGAACAGAGCCAUUAGCAAGCCCCCUGCCAAGAACAAAGCUGAGAGCAAGUCUCCAAAAUAACAUAAAGAAUCGAGAAUAGUAAUAACCAUAUUUUGCUUAGAACAAAAGGCUACUACGAAAUAGAAUUGGUGAUUCGACAUUUGGCCAUAUAUAUUUUCAAAACAAACUCAUACCUGCACAAAACUAUGAAAAUAACAUCUUGCGGAGCUGUGGUCUAUGGUAAUAAGCUGAGAGCAAGCAACCAAAAAGGCCAAGUCAUUCGGGAGCACCCGGGUCUAAGAAGAGGUGAGGUGGGAGAAGAGUACGUUGAUGUCUGGCACCCAUGCUGGUGACAGGUGGCCGGACCGCAUCGACACCACCCAUCCCUCCCGUCACCUCUCCAAACGUUACCCCUGAUGCCCAACCAGGGCUCCCUGCUUGGAUCUACAACUGGCACAAACCAGCCACCCGCUCAACGGCGCGAGAAGCCGGACCGGCGACAACCUGUAACCACAGAGAGAGACAGGAGCAUCCACUGAAACCACACGCAGAUGAUCCGCCGCCAAAGAACGUGCUGCACACCGCCAACACGCCGCCACCACCGUCUCCCUGCGCAAGAGUACACCGACGGGAGGUGAGGAAGCCCCAUUGCCACCGACACCGUCCCGGCUUUGCCUGGCGGUAGCGAGGAGGGAGGAUUGGGAGGGGGCGAGGGCCAGCGGCGCUGGGGUUCCCCCUGAUUGCGAAGCGGGCGCGACAAGGGAGGGAAGGGGGAAGGGGAAAGUUCUGUCUUUCCAACCGCAAAUGUGGAUUACACAAAUAGUGGAUGAAAAAUACAAAAACUGACUACAUUGGUUUGAUGCAAGUAGCAAUCAUGCAAUUGAAGUAGUUUCAUGUUCCUCACUUGAAACACGUCCCAAGACGACUUAUCAGUUCCUUUGCAUGCUCAAUCUAGUUCUGCAGCUUCUCUUAUGCAGCAUCUUGAGUUUCCACCCAUAUCGCCUUUGCUGAGGUAAGAGGUCUCUAUCCUUAUUAUGGGUGAAGCAAUAAAACAGCAAAAAAGGUAUAGGGACACAAUAUAGGUUGAGGGUGAAAGAAGUGGCAUAACUCCAGAGUCCAUAAAUAUGUAGGCUAACGCUCCAAUUCGAUGUGUGUAUUUCUGCAAUACCAACAUAAUUUUAUAAAGCAUACUGAUACUGCAUCAGAGGCCUAAAAAUCAGUAGCCUGAAAAUAUGUAGACCACAGCUAAUGCUCAAUUUUGAUGCACUAUUUAUUUUUGCAAUACCCAGAUAAUUUUAUAAAGCAUACUGAUACUGCAUCAGUGGCCUAAAAAUCAGUAGGCUAAAAAUAUGUACACCACGGCUGAGGCUCUAACUUAGUGACACAACACCCAUGUGGCUAUAGAAACUCACCAUUGAUUCGAUUUGAUGUGUGUAAGUCAUGUGCCGACUGGCCUUUCCUGUGUCAUUUUGUCCAAUAUAGACAUAGGACAUCCGACAUUCAGUAACUGGAACCCCUGAAAUUUGUCAAGAAAAUUGAUGUGACAACUAAAGACAUGACACACGCAUGCUCCAAUGCCUCUUAUGCAAGAUUAUAAACAAAAGAUUGAGUACAAAGAUAAUUAAUUUGAAGCUCAUUUAAGUAUGAUACCCGAAUCAUGAGGACGAAUGCUUUUGGUAUCCUUAAAAUUUCCAGAUAUAUUUAUUUUUUAUGUUGGAACCACACUGAAUAGCUACCAUUGACCAUCAUUAUGUGAAAUUUAGGAGCUUUUCCACCUUUUUGUGGAUAGAAAAACAGAAGGAAAGAAACAAGCUUAUUGUCCUCCUAUACAUGCCUCGUUGACAUUAAAUUAUUUGAUAGAUAAGCAAGUAAGUAAUUUGUUGUCAUUGCAAAUGGUACACUGCAUUGACAGUAAAUCAUAAUAUAGAUAAGAAAAUAGGAAGGGCAUCACAACAUAUACAAGGCUCUACAACCAAGUACAUGCCUUUCUCAUGGCUUUGGCUUUAAAGAUAGCAGCUUUAACUUCACUUGCAGUCUUCAUGUGUCGAGAAACACCCAACAUUAGCUAUCAUUUUUUCUAUUUCGUCCAGAAAGGCUUGCUGAAAAUUGCCAAAAAAAUACAAAAUAGAAGAAACAUCAGAGCAUGUUCUUAAGCAUAGUGGUAUUACCAGAAAAAAAAUCAAGCUAACAGCAAGAACUGUAUUCGGACUAAUAUAUGUUUGAAGCCUGGUUCUUAAAGCAAGGGAGAUAUUUUAACUGGAAAGUACAUUUUCUUCGCCUCUUGGUGCAAGUUCUUAUUUACCAAACUCUAGAGCUUGAUGUAUUUACCCCACGAGAAUCAACUUUAUCAGCUUUUCUAGCUGCAGAUGAAAGUAUUAUUGGGAAUGUGUACCCUAAAUCUGAAUGUCAUAACACAUGAGUCAAGAAAAGAAGUUAAAAUUUAAUGAAGGCUCUAUAGAGAAAAUUCAAUUUUUACAAAUGGUUGUGACCAAACUCCAUUGUGAAAAAAAUGCACUAUAAAACCCUACACCAGCUAUAUAUAUCUUUCCCUACUAAUAAAGCAAAUAGUGCUUCUGGUCGUCCGUCAGGAAAAUUGCCCCCGAAGUUCGCACUAAUUACCCGCUAUGCCACCGCUAAGUGAGAAAAAACGUUUCGCGGCUGCAUCCACCUUGUGUUUGGUUCAUAUUGAACAAUCCUCUCAGAUAUCGCAUGCAUAUGUAUCUAUCCCGCUGGUUGGAGCUUGUGUCUUGCGUCCUGUAGACCCGGGUUCGAUCCCUGCUGCCCCUUAUUUUUUCUUUCUUUUCUUUUGGCUGCACCACGAGUUCGAUGCCUGCUGGCCCUUAUUUUUUUCUUUCUUUUCUUUUGGUUGCACCACGCAACCGCUGCUCGACCCGACCUGUUUUUUUCUCUUUGUUUAAUUUCUUUUUUCAAAUUCAAAUCUUUGAAAAAUACUGAUAUCUGUCAAAUUCUAACUUCAAAUCUAACAUGUUAUAUGUGAAAAUAUCUCAGAAAAUAUGUAGAUUUUAAAUAUGCUAUUAUCUUGCAUGUUAAUCAUUUUUAAAAUUAUGUUUAGGAUGCAUCAUAGUUUGAUGCUCUCACAAAAGCUAUUACAAAUGAAACAUAAUAUUGCAAAAAAAUGUUAGUCACCACAAAAAUGAUUCCAUUUUAAAAAUAUUCUCAAAAAUUAGAUAAAACACCUUCUCAAAUUAAAUAUAUAUUCAUGUUUUUCUGAACAACAAAAAUAAAAAUGAUUGAAAGACUCGUUCAUCGGAGAGCUGAAAUGGGUCAUGACAAACAUUGCUAUGAUACGUCCAAAUUCCAUAGUCCAAAAAGAAAUACUCAAUGUAACUUUAUUGCUGACGUUUGCAAAAAUUAAAUUAAAAAAGUUUUACAUAAUUACAUCGGAGAUUAUGAUUUUUUUUCUCUCUCGUUGCAACGCACGGGCCCUUUUGCUAGUAGUAGUAAACACUACAAAACUUCAGUCAGCAGUAUACAAACAAUAUCAUCACACCACUGGCUAAAAGGAGCAAAUACAGUUUUCUUCUCAGUCAAACAAAGAUCAAAUUUGUUAUAGGCAUAUACCUAAGUUCCAUGUAGAAGAAGAACAACCUAUAACAAAAAAGCAUGGUCCAAAGACAAGCCACGUCAAUAAUCGUUGAUGGAUUAACAUUUUGUCCCACUAUGCUAUGCGGUAGUUUAGAUGAAAAAUUAAUACAUAUCACUCACCAGCAAUAUGCAAAUGUAGUGAAGAAAGGGCUAUAAUUCUUAGCUAUUGCGCUUCUGUAAUUGAAAAGCUACGUAUAAGAUGACUGGUCAUAAGGUACUCCUUCUGUUGUCAUUCAUCCGACCAAAACAAGACUAAAUUGAUCCAGCUAGUUUUACGAUAAUUACACAUAAACAAGAACUUGUAAAUGUAAUAAAAUGGUAUGAGCACAUAUGGUAUAUAUACCUCGUUGUGGUCGUCGUCCUUCUUGAGGGGAGUGGAUCCAUUCCUUAAAUUAUGUCCAGCUUUAUGUUCCAAAAUGGAGUUAUUCAUGUUGCCCUUGAUGACUAUAGAAAGAACUGCAGGUUUGAAUAACUAAUCCAUGAAGAAACUGGAGUGCAUUCAAAUGGAAAAAAGAAUCACAUAAAAGACUUCCUUCUUCGAUUUAUAGAGAAGCAAUAUCAAUAUCUCAAUAACCUUUUUGGAUCUCCAUAUUACAUUAUCAGUUUAAUGCAUAUGCACGAAAAAAUGAAUAGUAAAGCACACAUAAAAAAUAAGGGCUGCCAGCAAUAUGGAUAAUCUUGCAUUGCAAGAGGAUACAAGCUGAGCAUUAAAAGAAAAGAGACGACAUAACCUAAAAUGUUUCUGAACUUGCAUGAAAAUCGGAGAUAUCACCAAGAGGAUCUUUCUAAACUUGCAAGAAAACAGGGAAUAUGCCUAAGAUAUGAGCUGCUAGAGGGAGGGUGUGCAUGAACUGACGCCAGUCUUUGGCUGAGUUGCCAUGCGUUGGAGGUCGAAGGUGUUUUUUUUUGCGCGGACAAAAAAUAAAUAAAUAGAACUUAACUUUGCACGGUUCAAUACUAUUGCUGAAAGAUGAUCUUAUCCUAGAAGUGGACUUUGCAUACCAUUAAGUAAUUUAAUACUACAUAAGUCUAAGCUUUGGAGUUCUAGCAUAUAAAAUAAAUAAUUUGGGAACAGUUCCUAGAGCCUGGCACUAAGAGCAAAGUGUACGUGAAGAUCUUGAAAUUAAGAUUCGGACUAUAUUUCUACUUCCAGUUUGGAGACAAUUACAUCUCGGGUAAUUGAUCGGACGUAGAUGAUUGUUGAAGUAUGACCCAAACCUAAAAUUUCCAUCGAAAAUAUAAGGUUAGAUGAAAAGUUCUAAAAUCAAAAACUGUUGGAUGAUUCCAAAAUCACCCAACAGAAAACGUGCAAUUGGGUAUAUUUAUUUCAUAUAAAUAUAUAUAAAAUAAAUGACAGCACAAGUGAAAGCAUUACCUAAUUUGUCGAAUGCACUCCAUGUAACAAAUGAAUGGUUCACUGCCAUGUCCAAUAAUGUAGAAGUAUGACCCUAACAUGAAAAGACACAUGAGCGCAAAUAUAGAUGAUAAUUCUCCGAAUGAUUUUGCCUGUGGAGUCUGAAUGGUUUCUUCACCAUGGUGUUAUACCACAUCACAGAAAACGUGCAAUUUGGUACAUGUGACUAUGUGAGUGCCACCAGACAAGGUGAAACCAUAAAAAGAACACCACAAGCAUAUAAAUUUUACACCAUACAUAAGUGAAUUAAUCAUCUCAAUUUUGGACAUUUACAUGACGGCUCAAUUGAAAAAGUAUUUUUCGAUUUGGGCCCACUUCUCUUCAGUUUUUCCAUUCAUUCAGAUAACCAUAAAAAAAUGCUACUGCAACAAUUACCUGCAGUGCAAAGUGAUCUGAGGGAUAUCAAAUCUUUUUCAAAUGGAUCGGUGUGUGGGAUAAAAAAUUACCCUCGAUCAAGUCGUUGAGUUCUUCACAUGUGUCAGUUCAACCUCUGUCACUUAAUACAUGCAAACCAAAUCAUAUUUUAGAAGGGCGGAUCCAGUGAAUCCUCUAACAGGUUUACCAGGUAAGGAACGACUCAUAGCUUGUCCAGGCAUUGCGUUAGAUAUCAAUUCUUGCACCACAAUAUCAAAAUCCUUCGCAACAAAAUCUGGUGCUGGAGUAUUAAAAAUGGUGAAGUCCGCCGUUGCCGGAAUGGCAGUGACCUGCUGAUAAGACGCUGCUACUGCUGCAUGCCAUUGGCAUCCUUCUUCGCGGCCUCGUCCUCUAUCACCGCAUCUGCAUGGUAAGAGAGGAGCACAAGUAAAAAAGGACUUACACGCGGCCGGUGGAGUGGUGGCGGCCGGGUAGCCGCCAGCGCCUUCCACCAACCGCUAGUGCCCACCCCCGGCGCCCAUCACCCCAUUGUCUUUUCGCUGCAGCUGCACCAGCACGACACAGGACAGGAGCACAGUCAGUGGCGGAGGACGGAAAAAAAUUAAGGUGAGGCAGACCUUGCACCGGCUACCACCUGACGCCACAUAAGCUGGCUACAUAAUUCAGUUAAAACUUUGAGCCAAACACCAGUUAUAAUAUCCUGUGAUGUAAAAUUACCAAGCAUCACGAUGGCUGGGACGUCCUCUCGUAGGCAGUUAGCCGGGCCGCGCGCUCACGAAGGAUGGCGGGAGCCGAGACCAGGGGAGCUGGGCAUGGGGAGGCUGGGACGGCAGCCGGCGGCGCGACGUUGGAGGCUUGGAGCACCUAGUGCGUACAUGCAGAGGAAAAGAAUCAAGUCGUGCAAUGCUGGAUCGGUGGAUGCUUUCAUGCUUUUUUCUGGACUGUGCUGGGUUGAAACCUAGGCAUCCGAUGAAAUCAAGCAGCGAUGUAUAAAUCAAGGCGGACGCACGACCUCCGCAUGUGAGCACAGUAAGCAGCAGCAGCACGAACACAAGGGGGGCCAGCCACGAACAACAACAUCGGUACGGGCCGGCCACGAGCACACGGGGUCGACGGCGGGUAAUAGCAGCACCUGCGACAUCACGGGGCGGCAGCAUCGAGCUGGUAACCCUAACCCUAGGUCGCCGGCCCGGGGCAAAUUGGGUGAGCCAGAGAAAGAGGAUUGACCUAGCUGUCUCCGCCGCCGAGGACCACAGGGAAUCGCCGGGAGGAGGAGCCCUCGUCUUCCUUCGAGCACCAGCAGAGACAGAGGGGCGGCGGGUUUCGAUUUUUGAUUAGGUGAUGGACGAAGAGGAGAGCGGGAGGGAUCUGUAGAGAGGCACGAGAUCUCGGCGGCGGCGAAGGGCAACUCCUCUCGGCGGCGGAGCAGGAGAUGGGGCGGCGGCGGUAGAGCAGGAGAUGGGGCGGCGGCGGUGGAGCGGGAGACGAGGGAAAGAGAGAGGCCACAGCGGGAGGGGGUGGAUCGAGAGGAGGGGCGGGGUACAGUUUUUUUUCUAGGUAUGGGGAGGUGGGACGAUAAAAACCGACGAAAAAAACCCAGCAAAGGUGGGAGGACGAAAUAAAACCAGCGAAAAAUAACCGACAGACUAUUCACCAACUGCUCCAUUAGGAGUAGAGAUUGACGUGUCUCCUAUUAGAUCUUUGUUUUGCAAUAUGAAUCUUGAUAAUAAUGGGACUGAAUAUGCAUGAGUAGGCGUCCCAAGAAUUUGGAGUUUUUAGAUCUUGAUGUUAAAUUUGGUAAAAGUGGGAUUGGAGAGGCCAUGACUUUAAAUAGUAUUUAACCUACUAUCUCGGAUUUCAAGGAAUUCGAUUAUGAUAAUUGUUCUUUACAAGGUUGUAUUUCCUUGUUGCAAUCCCUUGUUAAUUCUCCUCAUGCUUAUAGUCAAAAUAAAGUUUUUACCAAACAUAUCAUUGAUGCCUUGAUGCAAUCUUAUGAUGAAAAACUUAAUUUGGAAGUUUCUAUACCUAGAAAAUUUAAUGAUGAGUGGGAACCUACUAUAAAGAUUAGAAUUAAAGAUCAUGAGUGUUUUGCUUUUUGUGAUUUGGGUGCUAGUGUUUCCACGAUUCCGAAAACUUUAUGUGAUAUUCUAGGUUUCCAUGAUCUUGAUGAUUGCUCUUUAAAUUUGCACCUUGCGGAUUCCACCAUUAAAAAGCCAAUGGGAAGGAUCAAUGAUGUUCUCAUUGUUGCAAAUAGAAAUUUGGUGCCCAUAGAUUUUAUCGUUCUUGAUAUAGAUUGCAAUCUUUCUUGCCCUAUUAUUCUUGGUAGACCUUUCCUUAGAACGAUUGGUGCAAUUAUUGAUAUGAAGGAAGGGAAUAUUAGAUUCCAGUUUCCAUUAAAGAAAGGCAUGAAGCACUUUCCAAGAAAGAAAGUCAAAUUACCUUAUGAAUCUAUCAUGCGUACUACUUAUGAAUCAAGUGCCAAAGAUGGCACUACUUAGAUCUAUCCUCGCUUUUAUGCCUAGCUACGGGCGUUAAACGAUAGCGCUAGUUGGGAGGCAACCCAAUUUUCUCUGUGUUUUUUGUUUUUAUUCCUGUUUAGUAAUAAAUCUUGCAUCUACCUUCUGUUUAGAUGUGUUUUUAUGUUUUAAUUACUGUUUGUGCCAAGUAGAACCUAUAGGAUAACCGAUGAUGAUAGUUAAUUUGAUUAUACUGAAAAAUAGAAACUUUGCGGCACGAAUUUAAUUUUGUUAAAUCACAGAAACGUGCUUUUGCGUUGAUUAUUUUUGCUGCUAAUCAAUAAACAAAUUUUUCAGGACUUCCUAUUUUGGUAGGAGUUUUAGAGUUCCAGAAGUUUGCGUUAGUUAUAGAUUGCUACAGACUAUUCUGUUUUUGACAGAUUCUGUUUUUCGUGUGUUGUUUGCUUAUUUUGAUGCAUCUAUGGCUAGUAAAAUAGUUUAUAAACCAUAGAGAAGUUGGAAUACAGUAGGUUUAACACCAAAAUAAGUAAAUAAUGAGUUCAUUACAGUACCUUAUGUGGUGGUUUUGUUUUCUUUCACUAACGGAGCUUAUAAGAUUUCCUGUUGAGUUUUGUGUUGUGAAGUUUUCAAGUUUUGGGUAAAGCUUUUAUGGACUAUGGAAUAAGGAGUGGCAAGAGCCUAAGCUUGGGGAUGCCCAUGGCACCCCAAGAUAUUCAAGAAUAGACAAAAUCCUAAGCUUGGGGAUGCCCCGGGAAGGCAUCCCCUCUUUCGUCUUCGUUCAUUGGUAACUUUACUUGGAGCUAUACUUUUAUUCGCCACAUGAUAUGUGUUUUGCUUGGAGCGUCGUAUAUUAUAUUAGUCUUUGAUUUUUAGUUUACCACAAUCAUCCUUGCUGUACACACCUUCUGGGAGAAGCCUACUUGAUUAGAAUUUGGUAGAAUACUCUAUGUGCUUCACUUAUAUCUUUUGAGCUUGAUAGUUUUUGCUCUAGUGCUUCACUAAUAUUUUUUUGGAGCACGGUGGUAACUUAAUUUUGAAGAAAUUGCUAGUCUCUCAUGCUUCACUUAUAUUAUUUUGAGAGUCUUUUAGAACAACAUGGUAUUUGCUUUGGUUACAAAUUUGGUCCUAGAAUGAUGAGCAUCCAAGUUGGCUAUAAUAAAAACUAUCAUAGGAAGUGAAUUGGAUGCUAUGAUCAAUUUGUUGCUUGAUAAUUAUUUUGAGAUAUAAAGGUAGUAAUGUUAGGGUCAUGCUAGUGGAUAAUUAUGAAAUUGAGAGAUACUUUUUUUGAAGUUGGCAAGUCCCGUAGCACGCACGUAUGGUAAAAGUUGUGUGACAAAUUUGUUGCAUGAGGUGCUCUUUUGAUUGUCUUCCUUAUGAGUGGCAGUCGGGGACGAGUGAUGGUCUUUUCCUACCAAUCUAUCCCUCUUGGGGCAUGCGUAGUAGUACUUUGCUUCGAGGGCUAAGUAGACUUUUGCAAUAAGUAUAUGAGUUCUUUAUGACUAAUGUGAGUCCAUGGAUAUACGCACACUCAUCCUUCCACUUUGCUAGCCUCUCUUAUUACCGCGCAACUUUCGCCGAUAUCGAACCCAUUAUUUACCUUCCUCAAAACAGCCACCAUACCUACCUAUUAUGGCAUUUUCAUAGCCAUUCCGAGAUAUAUUGCCAUGCAACUUUCCACCAUUCCGUUUAUUAUGACACAUUUCAUCAUUGUCAUAUUGCUCUUUGCAUGAUCAUGUAGUUGAUAUCAUAUUUGUGGCAAGGCCACCUUCAUAAUUUUCAUACAUGUCGCUCUUGAUUCAUUGCAUAUCCCGGUACACUGCCAGAGGCAUUCAUAUAGAGUCACAUCUUGUUCUAGCUUUGAGUUGUAAUUCUUAAGUUGUAAAUACAUAAAAGUGUGAUGAUCUUCAUUAUUAAAGCAUUGUCUCAGUGAGGAAAGGAUGAUGAAGACUAUGAUUCCCCCACAAGUCGGGAUGAGACUUCGGACUUUACAAAAAGAAAAAAAAGAAGAAAAAAAGAGAAAGCCCAAAAAGAAAAAAAGAGGCCAAAGAAAAAAAAAGAGAAAAAGAAAAAAAUAAAAAAAGAGAAAAGAAAAUAAAAUAAAAUGAGAGAAACAGAGAGAAGGGACUAUGCUACUAUCUCUUUUUCCACACUUGUGCUUCAAAGUAGCACCAUGAUCUUCAUGAUAAAGAGUCUCCUAUGUUGUCACUUUCAUAUACUAGUGGGAUUUUUUUAUUAUAGAACUUGGCUUGUAUAUUCCAAUGAUGGGCUUCCUCAAAAUGCCCUAGGUCUUCGUGAGCAAGAGAGUUGGAUGCACACCCACUUAGUUUCUUUUGUUGAGCUUUCAUAUAUUUAUAGCUCUAGUGCAUCCGUUGCAUGGCAAUCCCUACUCACUCACAUUGAUAUCUAUUGAUGGGCAUCUCCAUAGCCCGUUGAUACUCCUACUUGAUGUGAGACUAUCUUCUCCCUCUUUUUGUCCUCACAACCACCACCAUUUACUACCAUAGUGCUAUGUCCAUGGCUUGCGCUCAUGUAUUGCGUAAGAGUUGAAAAAAGCUGAAGCGCGUUAAAAAGUAUGAAACAAUUGCUCGGCUUGUCUUCAGGGUUGUGCAUGAUGGGAGUAUUUUGUGUAAUGAAAAUGAAGCAUGGCCUAACUGUAUGAUUUUGUAGGGAUAAACUUUCUUUGGCUAUGGUAUUUUGAUAGGACAUGCUUAUUUGUUAGUAUGCUUCGAAGUAUUAUUAUUUUUAUGUUUUAUAAGCUUUUAUCUUGAAUCAUUUGGAUCUGAACAUUCAUGCCACAAUAAAGAGAAUUACAUUGAGAAAUAUGCUAGGUAGCAUUCCACAUAAAAAAUUGUGUUUUUAUCAUUUACCUACUCGAGGACGAGCAGGAAUUAAGCUUGGGUAUGCUUGAUAUGUCUCCAACGUAUCUACAAUUUUUGAUUGUUCCAUGCUAUUAUAUUACCCCUUUUGGAUGUUUAUGGGCUUUAUUUUACACAUUUAUAUCAUUUUUGCGACUAACCUACUAACCGGAGGCCCAACCCGUAUUGCUGUUUUUUUGCCUAUUUCAGUAUUUCGAAGAAAAGGAAUAUCAAACGGAGUCCAAACGGAAUGAAACCUUCGGGAGCGUGAUUUUUGGAACGAACGUGAUCCAGAGGACUUGGAGUGCAAGUCAAGAAGCAGUCGAGGCGGCCACGAGAGGGUAGGGCGCGCCCCUUGUCUCGUGGGCCCCUCGGGCGGCCACCGACGUACUUCUUCCUCCUAUAUAAGCCUACGUACCCCGAAAACAUCCAGGGAGCCAGCGAAGCACAAUUUCCACCGCCGUAACCUUCUGUAUUCGCGAGAUCCCAUCUUGGAGCCUUCUCCAAUGCUUCGCCGGAGGGGGAAUCGACCACAGAGGGCUUCUACAUCAACACCAUAGCCCCUCCGAUGAGUUGUGAGUAGUUUACCACAGACCUUCGGGUCCAUAGUUAUUAGCUAGAUGGCUUCUUCUCUCUUUUUGGAUCUCAAUACAAUGUUGUCCCCCUCUCUUGUGGAGAUCUAUUCGAUGUAAACUCUUUUUGCAGUGUGUUUGUCGAGAUCCGAUGAAUUGUGGGUUUAUGAUCAAGUUUAUCUAUGAUAAAUAUUUGAAUCUCCUCUGAAUUCUUUUAUGUAUGAUUGAGUUAUCUUUGCAAGUCUCUUCGAAUUAUCAGUUUGGUUUGGCCUACUAGAUUGAUCUUUCUUGCCGUGGGAGAAGUGCUUAGCUUUGGGUUCAAUCUUGUGGUGUCCUUACCCAGUGACAAAAAUGGUUGCAAGGCACAUAUUGUAUUGUUGCCAUCGAGGAUAAAAAGAUGGGGUUUAUAUCAUAUUGCAUGAGUUUAUCCCUCUACAUUAUGUCAUCUUGCUUAAGGCGUUACUCUGUUCUUAUGAACUUAAUACUCUAGAUGCAGGCAGGAGUCGGUCGAUGUGUGGAGUAAUAGUAGUAGAUGCAGGCAGGAGUCGGUAUACUUGUUGCGGACAUGAUGCCUAUAUACAUGAUCAUGCCUAGAUAAUCUCAUAAUUAUUCGCUUUUCUAUCAAUUGCUAGACAGUAAUUUGUUCACCCACCAUAAUACUUAUGCUAUCUCGAGAGAAGCCUGAUAUGUCUCCAACGUAUCUAUAAUUUAUGAAGCAUUCAUGCUAUUUUAUUAUCUGUUUUGCAUGAUUACGGGCUUUAUUAUGCACUUUUAUAUUAGUUUUGGGACUAACCUAUUAACCGGAGGCCCAACCUAUAUUGCUGUUUUAUUGCAUGUUUCAGUAUUUCGAAGAAAAGGAAUAUCAAACGGAGUCCAAACAGAAUGAAACCUUUGGCAGCAUUAUUUUUGGGAAGAAUAUCACCCAGGAGACUUGGAGUUCACGUCAGAAGAGCCUCGAGGAGGCCACGAGAUAGGAGGGCGCGCCCCCCCUACUGGGCGUGCCCCCUGUCUUGUGGGCCCCUCGAGCACCCCCCGACCGACUUCUUUCGCCUAUAUAAGCCUACGUACCCUAAAACCAUCGAAUAUCAAGAUAGAUCGGGAGUUCCGCCGCCGCAAGCCUCUGUAGCCACGAAAAACCUCUCGAGAGCUCGUUCCGGCACCCUGCCGGAGGGGGAACCCAUCACCGGUGGCCAUCUUCAUCAUCCCGGCGCUCUCCAUGACGAGGAGGGAGUAGUUCACCCUCGGGGCUGAGGGUAUGUACCAGUAGCUAUGUGUUUGAUCUCUCUCUCUUGUGUUCUCUCUAUGGCAUGAUCUUGAUGUAUCGCGAGCUUUUCUAUUAUAGUUGCAUCUUAUGAUGUUUCUCCCCAUCUACUCUCUUGUGAUGAACUGAGUUUCCCUCUUGAAGUUAUCUUAUUGGAUUGAGUCUUUAUGAUGAGAACACUUGAUGUAUGUCUUGCCGUGUUUAUCUGUGGUGACAAUGGGAUAUCACGUGCCACUUGAUCUAUGUUUUGGUGACCAACUUGCGGGUUCCGCCCAUGAACCUAUGCAUAGGGGUUGGCACACGUUUUCUUGACUCUCCGGUAGAAACUUUGGGGCACUCUUUGAAGUACUUUGUCUUGGUUGGAUGAAUCCGAGAUUGUGUGAUGCAUAUCGUAUAAUCAUGCCCACGGAUACAUGAGGUGACAAUGGAGUAUCUAGGUGAAAUUAGGGUUUUGGUUGAUUUGUGUCUUAAGGUGUUAUUCUAGUACGAACUCUUUAAUAGAUCGAUCCGAAAGAAUAACUUUGAGGUGGUUUCGUACCCUACCAUAAUCUCUACGUUUGUUCUCCGCUAUUAGUGGCUUUGGAGUGACUCUUUGUUGCAUGUUGAUGGAUUGUUAUAUGAUCUAUCUAUGUUAUUAUUGUUGAGAGAACUUGCACUAGUGAAAGUAUGAACCCUAGGCCUUGUUUCCUAUCAUUGCAAUACCGUUUACGCUCACUUUUAUCAUUAGUUACCUUGCUGUUUUUAUUAUUUCAGAUUACAAAUACCUUUAUCUACCAUCCAUAUUGCACUUGUAGCUUCAUCUCUUCGCCGAACUAGUGCACCUAUACAAUUUACCAUUGUAUUUGGUGUGUUGGGGACACAAGAGACUCUUUGUUAUUUGGUUGCAGGGUUGCUUGAGAGAGACCAUCUUCAUCCUACGCCUCCUACGGAUUGAUAAACCUUAGGUCAUCCACUUGAGGGAAAUUUGCUACUGUCCUACAAACCUGUGCACUUGCAGGCCCAACAACGUCUACAAGAAGAAGGUUGUGUAGUAGACAUCAAAGCCUCUAGUGAAACCUAUGGCCCCUGGGUCUAUCUAUUAUCAUAUUUGCUUUCUAUCUACUUUUAUUUUGCAUCUUUACUUUUUGCAUCUAUCUUAUAAAAUACCAAAAUAUAUUUAUCUUAUCAUACUAUCUCUAUUAGAUCUCACUUCCGCAAGUGGCCGUGAAGGGAUUGACAACCCCUUUAUUGCGUUGGUUGCGAGUUCUUUGUUUAUUUGUGUAGGUGCGUGGGACUUUUGAGGAGCCUCCUAUUGGAUUGAUACCUUGGUUCUCAAAAACUGAGGGAAAUACUUACACUACUAUUGCUGCAUCACCCUUUCCUCUUCAAGGAAAACCAACGCAAGCUCAAGACGUAGCAAGCAACAUCUUCACUCUUGAAUCGAGAUUCCUGCCCUCUCUUCCUUAAGGACUUGAACGUCUUUAAGCACCAAUAAGCACAAAGAUGAGGCCAUGCAUGUUCCUUAAAUGAUGGUAUUUUGCAUUCCAAGUAUUUGGCAUAUUCAAGUUCUUUUGAACAUGCCGACGUGUCACCAAGCCGCUCUCCUUGUUUCUCAAAGUAGAACUUCACAGCAUCCACACGAAGUUGAUACAUCAUGUCUCUCACUUUUUUCAUUGCGUAAUUGUCCAACACACGAUCAGCAUCAUUCUCCACCUUGUCUGGAUCUUCAUCAUCUUUCAAGUGGAUCUCAAACAAGUUCUACAAGUUUAUAGAUUUUCAUGUCAAAUAUGUAUGUGCAAUACAAAUUUUCAAAUUUUCAAAUUAACUCCCAGGUACUUGGAACUUACCCAAAAAACUUCCUUCACACGAUCUGCAGCAGUCUGCCCCUUAUCAUCUAGAGUAUCAUUCAUAAUAAUCAGACCACUCCAAAGCUAGGCGGGUUUUAAUGACAAUAUCACCUUCCUUCUUCUCAAUUAUCCAUGGGUGUUCUCGUUUAAGAAUGAUUCCAAGUUGCAUAUUAUACUUGUAUUGCUUGGAAUUAGGGUCAGCAUAUUUAAAUUGCCUAAACAACAAGAUAAGCACCAUUAGCACCAUUAACUAAGACGAUGAUAAUAUGAGUCAAGCAUAAAACUAACCAUGCGUUAAUAAACAACCAUACCUGUCACCUCCUGGUUCAAGACCAACCCUGUGACCAUGUGGAGGCACUCUUAAUUCUGUUGUGGCCCUCCUUUUCCUCCCUCUUUGACGAGAUGUUGGCUGCCUUGUGCUCAUAUCACUAUUUUGAGAUAAAGGACCAGUGGAGUUAACACCAUCAGAUCAGGACCUUUGUGCUAUCGUUGCUGGUGUUGCCUGAACCAACAAGAGCAUUCCGGUUAGCACGGCUGCCACCAUAGCUAGUACGUCUGUGACGCAGCACAAGCAUCUCCUGCACAAAUUCAGAUGUUAGUUCAAGUUUACAAAGCACAAGCCUACAAUUUAGUAAGCAAGUUUGAGCCAUACUCCAUAAAUACAACCAAAAAAAGUAGCAUGUUUUAGUUGCACUCAACAUACAUGCACAAAAUAGUGCAUCAAACACUCAAGUUUUAGUUGCACUGAACAUACAUGCACAAAAUAGUACAUAAAACACUCAAGUUUUGGCUACAAUCAUCACAGAAAUUUUAACUAACAGAAAAUACAACAACUCAUGAGACUAGAAAUCAUUUUCAUCAUAAGAUGGUGUUGCAAACUCCUCUUCAUCUGAAUCCUCCUCUUCAUUUGAUUCCUCUUCGCCUUCAUCUUGUUGACCUCCAACACACAGCUUCUCCAGAACUUCUAGUUCUUUUGGAUCAAUUGUGCAAUUUAUGUGAGUCCAAUUGUGCAAUUUACUGUGAUUGAAGGUGUCAUUCACAUGUGUGUACAUGUGAGUUUCCACUUCCUCUCCUGUGAAACACCUUGGUGACCCUUCUAACACUAUUAUAUCAUUUCCAAAUGAAUUGGCUUGGAAUCUGAAUUCGUGAUCUGGAGGUAGAAAGUGCCUAUGACAAUCAAACCAGUAAGGGUUCCGCCCGUAUUGAAGAGUAAAUGCUUUGGAAUCACUCAUGCAUUCAGGGCAUGCUAGCUUGCCAUGGGUGCUCCACCCAGCGAACAUACCAAACGCAGGAAAGUCGUGGACUGAUCAUAGAAAGGUCGCUUUCAUUGGAAAGUUUACCUUGUGAUAAGCAUCCCAUGUUUCAACCCCGUCCCACAAUUGCAUCAGUUCAUCAGCUAAAGGUUGCAUUAUGACACUCAAUUUUUUCCAGGAUGUUCAGGAACAGGGACAACAAGGCUAAGGAAUAUAUACUCUGGUUUCAAGAGAAUACCGGGUGGAAGGUUUAAUGGAGCUACGAAAAUAGGCCAGCAAGUAUAUGGAGCAGCAUUCAACUUGUAUGAUGUAAAACCAUCACCAGCUAUGACAAGACGGACAUUUCUAUGAUCUUCUGCAAAUUCUAGGAACUCCUUGUCAAACCAUUGCCAAGCUUCACCAUCAAUAGGGUGGACCAUCUUAUCAGAAUUGGAACAACUAUGAGACUGCAUAUGUUUUGCUAUUUCCUCAUGUGCAUACAACCUCUGUAAUCUAUGUUUAAGAGGGAGAUAUCUCAACACUUUACGUGGGACUUUAUUCUGGCCUACCUCUUAGCGAGAUGUACCGCAGAUGUCACACUUCUCUUUAUGCUCAUUAUCUUUAUAGUACAACAUGCAGUUAUUUUUACAGACAUCAAUCAUGACAUAAGGCAUACCAAGGCCUUCUAAGAGUUUCUUAGAUUGGUAGAAGUCCUUGGAUAAGUUAGCACCCGGAGGCAUAAGUUCAUGGAUGAUUUGUAACACAUCAUCAUAUUCUACAAUUGACAUAUUAUACUGAGAUUUUAGUGCUAGCAAACGGGCUACUGCAGAAAGACGUGAGUGGGUUGUGUUCUCAUGGACACUAGUAGAAAACAGGGCUUUCGUUCGGGCCUGGCCAGCCCAUUAGUCCCGGUUCCGUUACGAACCGGGACCCAUGGGGGAAUUCAUCCCGGUUCGUGAGCCCAAGGGGCCGGCCGGGGCCUCGUGGGGAUUGAUCCCGGUUCGUAUGGACCCAUUUAUCCCGGUUCCAGGCAAGAACCGGGACCAAUGGUCCUCGCUCCUGGCUCACAGCCAUUGGUCCUGGUUCGUGGCUUGAACCGGGAUAUAAUGCUUGCCUUUAGUCCCGGUUUCUACCACGAACUGGGACAAAUGAGUAGCCUAUAUAUACCCCAUCGCCACAGCAGAGCACUCCAUAGUGCUCUGUUUAUUCUGGCCGGCGAGGGGAGGGCAUUUGGGUGCUCUAGCUCACCUCCUAUGCACAUGAGGUGUUCGAUGAAAUGUUCGAGCCACACUAGUUAAUCUUUCUCCUCUCGAAACUCGACCUCCGAGCUCCAUUUUCCCCGAGAUUUGUCUAGGUUUAGCGGUCCGUCACGUCCCGUCCCCGUCUUCACCGCCAUCGAUCGCCCGCGCUGAUCUCGUCACUGGCACCACCGUGGUGAGCCUCCUGUUCUUAUCUUCUUUCUGAAAGAAAAAAAUUCUUACUUCAGAUAGAUACUUGUCUAAUUUUCUUACUUUUAUUAUUCCUUGUUAUUAUAUAGUGCAAUGGUUUUUGUAUCCGCCCCCGUCGGCCCUUGUCCUGUCUAUGAUUCUGAUGUGGUAUAUAUAUUAUCUUUUGAUAACUAUUUGGUUCAUUUAUUGUUUAUGACAAUUAUGUCGACCAACAUGACAUAGAUUUUAUUUAUCUAGGAGGUGGUUGAACCGGAAAUUCCAACCGACCCUAUUGUCGAUAGGUUAAAUUUAGUUCAAGAAGAAAACAAUUACUUGAAGGAAAUAAUAAAAAAAAUUGAGGAGGAGAAGAUGAUAUUGGAGUUACAUGUUGCGGAUGUCGUCGAUGAUCACAAGAUCAAGAUGGAUGCAAUGCGGUUGAAGAUUAGAAAGAUUAGAAAAUAUGCCAUUCAUACCGAGGCUUGGUAUCAUUAUGCAGUUGGAUCAGUUGUUACCUUGGUUGCGAUUAUGAUCGCAUUUGUUGUUGCAUUGAAAUGUUUUACAUAAUUUCAACGUAUGGUUUAAUUAAAUGCUCUGGAGAGCUACAUGUUGUUCAAUGAGAACUAUGUAUGUACUUUGGUUUUAAUGUGAUGAUGAACUUCUAUUAAUUUGGUCACUUAUCUAUUCAUGAGAGGGUUGAAAAUUGAUGAUGUGGCUUUGAAUGGUGCAUUUUGAACACAGAAAAACUAUGGAGUUCAAAUAAGGUCAAAAAAAUGAAAUCCCUUUGUAACAGAAGAGUUUUCGUAUGAAACCCUGAUACUUCGAAAGAGAAUGUAUGUUUUGUACACGAAGUGCAUCCAGUUUUUGCCGUAACCCUCUCUACUUUCUUGUACAUGCUAUGUGGGUGAAAUGAUGAUACCAUGCCAACUUUCAACCUUUUCAGAGUUCAUUUCAGAUGCUUUUCAAUUUCAUGGUCUUAUAGCUCAAAAUAAUCAGUAAAUGCAUGAAAAAUAACAAAUGAAGUCAGAAAGGGUUGAAAAUUGAUGAUGUGGCUUUGAAUGGUGCAUUUUGAACACAGAAAAACUAUGGAGUUCAAAUAAGUUCAAAAAAAUGAAAUCCCUUUGUAACAGAUGAGUUUUCAUAUGAAACCCUGAUACUUCAAAAGAGAUUGUCCGUUUUGUACACGAAGUGCAUCCAGUUUUUGCCGUAACCCUCUCUACUUUCUUGCACAUGCUAUGUGGGUGAAAUGGUGAUACCAUNNNNNNNNNNNNNNNNNNNNNNNNNNNNNNNNNNNNNNNNNNNNAUUGUCCGUUUUGUACACGAAGUGCAUCCAGUUUUUGCCGUAACCCUCUCUACUUUCUUGGACAUGCUAUGCGGGUGAAAUGAUGAUACCGUGCCAACUUUCAACCUUUUCAGAGUUCAUUUCAAAUGAUUUUCAAUUUCAUGGUCUCAUAGCUCAAAAUAAUCAGUAAAUGCAUGAAAAAUAACAAAUGAAGUCAGAAAGGGUUGAAAAUUGAUGAUGUGGCUUUGAAUGGUGCAUUUUGAACAUAGGAAAACUAUAGAGUUCAAAUAAGUUGAAAAAAUGAAAUCCCUUCGUAACAGAUGAGUUUCCGUAUGAAACCCUGAUACUUCAAAAGAGAUUGUCUGUUUUGUCCAUGAAGUGCAUCCAGUUUUUCCCGUAACCCUUUCUACUUUCUUGCACCUGCUAUGUGNNNNNNNNNNNNNNNNNNNNNNNNNNNNNNNNNNNNNNNNNNNNNUUUUGAACAUAGGAAAACUAUGGAGUUCAAAUAAGUUCAAAAAAAUGAACUCCCUUUGUAACAGACGAGUUUCGUAUGAAACCCGGAUAUUUCGAAAGAGAUUGUCCGUUUUGUACACGAAGUGCAUCCAGUUUUUGCCGUAACCCUCUCUACUUUCUUGCACAUGCUAUGUGGGUGAAAUGAUGAUACCAUGGCAACUUUCAACCUUUUGAGAGUUCAUUUCAAAUCAUUUUCAAUUUCAUAGUCUUAUAGCUCAAAAUAAUCAAUAAAUGCAUGAAAAAUAACAAAUGAAGUCACAAAGGGUUGAAAAUUGAUGAUGUGGCUUUGAAUAUAUGGUGCAUUUUGAACACAGAAAAACUAUGGAGUUCAAAUAAGUUCAAAAAAAUGAAAUCCCUUUGUAACAGACGAGUUUCCAUAUGAAACCCUGAUAACAAAAAUGAAAUCCCUUUGUAACAGUCGAGUUUCCGUAUGAAAUCCCUUUGUUUCAGAGUUCAUAAAUAACUUUUUUGUUACAAACUUUAAUAGCAAAAAGAAUUAUCUUAAAAUAAUAUAAAUAAGUAAUUUGAAACAAAAUAAUAUAAACUUUAAUAAAAUAUAUAAGUAGAAACAAAAUAAAAUAAAAUAAAAUAAACUUUAAUAACAUAAAUAAAAUAUAUGAAACUAAAAUUAUCAAAGUAUUUUCUGUUCAAAAUCAUUAAAAGCAAAAAGAAUUUUCAUAAAAAAAAUUUGGUUAGAAACUUUAAUAGAAAAAAGAAUUAUCAUAAAAUAAAAUAAUUAAUUAAUUAUAAACAAAAUAAAAUAAAAUAAAUAAGUAUUGUGUUGUAAGUAGAAACAAAACAAAAUAAAUAAAGCAAAAAAGAAAACAAAAAAACUGGGCAAAAAUAAAAAAAUUGCCACCUACUGGGCCAGCACGGCCUGAAUACGACGAGAAACCCAUCCAUGGGCCAGGAUUCAGGCCCGCAGAAGGCCCAUUAGGCCCAUAGGCAUAUCCGUGUCAGUUUAGGCCCAUAGGCCUGCAGUUCAGAGGAGUUCGAGAGGGAAGAGGCAACGGGGCUUAUAAACAGGUGCCGGGCGCUUCCAACUAGCGAGGUGGGACUAAACUCCCACCACCAACCCGCUGUGCAAGGCCACUGGUCCCAGUUGGUGCCACCAACCGGGACUAAAGGGUGGCUUUGGUCCCGGUUGGUGGCACCAACCAAUACCAAUGCUGUCACGACCGGUUUUCCAAUAAAAAUAUUUAUUGAGAAACCAAUCUUUUGAGUCCAGUAUGAGAGAAAUCCUCCUCACUGGUAGACAAAUUCUUGAUACAAUAAGCCAGUAGCAUAAAAUAUAUUACAGGGUCGAACUACGGUUGCUCAACCAAAUUAUUACAAGCACGCCAAUAAUUAUACAUAAUGGCGGACAUGACACAGUGGUGUGGAGGCAUACUACUGACUCGAGGAUAGGGCGGUGGUGGAAAAACACAGUGGGGAGAGAGAUACAAGUCUCUAAAACUGUCAUCUCAUCGAGCGUCGAGGUGAGGCUCGAUGAAUUUAUUUGGUAGCGGAAGCGGAUAUAAUACAGUGACCAAAUCCAGGGUCGUACGAGACUGACUCGGACUCCUCUAGGCGUCGGACUCGCUAUCAAAUUCUUCAUCCAUGAGAUCGCCUUCGUCAGCAUCUCGCCAAAUCAACAAGCCAGUGAGUACUUUGAAAGUACUCGCAAGACAGUUCGGACGUAAGAUAUAACAAAUGCAUGCAUGAAUGCGUCAUGAUUAAUUCACCAAUGUACAUUCAAAAAUUAGCAUAACGAGGUAAGUAAAAGGGGAACGGCGGUAGUCCGCCUGAAGUCCCACAAAACAUAAAUGAAGACCGAUCGGGUGUCUGAAGCGACGCCUCGAAAGGUGAACAAAUAAAUAUAAGGAAAUGAUGCCACAGUCGGGCGUCUUAGCGACACCACAUAAAGGGCUUUAAAAGAAAUGCCACAGUCGGACGUCGGGGCGACAUCACAGAAAGGGCUUUAAAAGAAAAUACCACAGUCGGGCGUCUUAGCGACACCACACAAAGGGCUUUAAGAGAAAUGCCACAGUCGGACGUCGGGGCGACAUCACAGAAAGGGCUUAAAAAGAAAUACCACAGUCGGGCGUUUUAGCGACACCACAUAAAGGGCUUUAAGAGAAAUGCCACAGUCGGACGUCGGGGCGACAUCACAGAAAGGGCUUUAAAAGAAAUGCCACAGUCGGGCGUCUUAGCGACACCACAUAAAGGGCUUGAAAAGAAAGUAAAAUACAACAAUGCCACAGUCGGAUGUCUGAGCGACAUCGCAGAAAGGGCUUUUAUUCACAAGUAAAUAAUACUCAUAAUAAACAUUCAAUUCAUGAGAAUAAAUGGGUUAGUCCAUUCACAGGAAUAAUCAUUUAACCGGACUUAGCACUCAUGCGAUUCACCGGAGUCUCUGUCAUCAAAACUGACAUUUGAUCAGGAUAAGAUAAUAUCGAUCUUGGACAUGGAAUAGAUGAUUUGGAGGAAUAUAUGACUCUGCAGAGUUUGUACAAAAUUUUUCCCAUAGCCAACGGAUUUCCGUAGUCCCGAAGGACUAGUUCCGUUUACGGUUUUUUGGGAGAAAACACAGCUAACCAGUACACACCCAUUCUACCUCUCGAUGCUAGGAAUCACCCUAGACAUCGUCCAAGAAAAACUUUUGAGACGGGGAGAUCACAAUCUCGAAUAGCAUGGGAUCAAGUUUAUAUACGCGCGCUCUAAGGGGUGCCCCCCUCUCGGUCCCAACCGGAAACACCCAUGCCCCCUAACCGGAUGACUGGCUUUAAUCCAGGGCCAUGGAACCAUCAUCACGGCCUCUCCUUUUUGGUGUGUACCAGGAAAGCGGUUUACAACUUACUAAGCCAUAUUCCUUGCGGAAAACAUGUGGUAGUACAAGGAAGGAAGAAUGGAAGGAACUGGAAUGAUACGAGUUGACAUUUAAGUCACAUAGUCUGGCAUAAGCCUGGCAUGCUACAACACUGCCAUCUUACCCAUCCUCAUGCCAACACAUGGCCAUGCAUACUCACAUCCAUCCACUCAUGGAUUUUCGGAACUCACUUGCCUCAUCGUCUCAGGUAACAGGACAUUCAUCGGUAUGUUCAUCAACAUGCCAUAAACUACUUAAUGCAAACAUGCCAAAACAAUCAUCAUAUCAAAAGUUCAAACAUGCUUGCCUGGUUUGGAGUAGUCGGAGCCUAGCUCGGUGAAGUUCGCGGCUCCGUCACCUCCUUCGGUAUCUACGGUAUAAAGAAAAUAUAUGCGCUAUCGUAAAUGCCAAGAGGUGCACAAAAAGUUUUCCAAAUAUUUUUCAAAUAAAUCUGAAUAAAGAACUAGACAAAAUUUUAAAGAGGACAGAAAAAGAAUCAAUAAAAAAUACUUUUUUGUUUAAAAGUUAUAAGGGUUUUAACCCAGGGACUCAUCUGUAAUGAAACAGAAAGUUCCCAGGGGCUAGCUUACAAAAAUAGAAAACGACUCGAAUAAGAAUGUGCCGGCCCAGCGGGAAGACGUAUUUGGCAGAAGACGUUUUUAGAAAACGCUUCGCUUAGACAGGACAGAGAGGCUGACAGGCGGGUCCCGCCCGUCAGGUUUGAAUAUUUAAACGGGGCGACAGAGUUCGCCGGUGCCCGAGAGCCGCGGUGGUCGCCGGCGGCGAUCCACGGCGAGGCAGGGGGAUCGGAGGGUACCUCCGUGUUCAGGGCACCUUUCCGCGUCGGUUGGUGGUGGUGGUGGUCGCCGGCGAGUACCAUGUCGGCGGCGAGCCCUGCUCCGGCGGACGGCGGCUCGGGUGGUCGAGGGACUCGUCGAAGAGAGCUGCGAAGGACAAAUCGAUGCUGGCGUUAGCUUACUGGGUGCUAGAGGAGGCUAUAGACAAGAUUUGGGUGCCGGGGACGGCCUCACCGGAGCGAAUCGAGGUGGAGGCCGAGGCGGGUCGGGGCGGCCGGAGUUGGGGGAGGAGACCUCCUCGAGGUCCUCCUAGUGGCCUUGCGGGGCUUUGGUGAGGUGUAGAGGUGGUGCGUGCUCGAGGGUGAGCUCGGGGGCCCUUUUUAUAGGCGGUCCGAGGCGGUGGCCGUGAACGGGGAUCUCCGGUGAAGGUUACGGUGGCGCAGGGCUUGGUCGGGGGUGAUUAGGGAGUUGGGCGUCGUCGUUGAGGUCCACCGGUUCCAUUUAGGUGCUAAUCGGGCUGGGAUUUGGUGCUAUGGGCGAGUUCGACAGAACGGGGCGACGUGGGCCCGUCGGCGGCAGUGAGCACGUUCCGUGCUUGCCGGGCCACGUUGAUGGUGCCACGGGCGUGCGCUGGCAUGCAUGAGGCCACGCGGAGAGCAGAGGGGCGUUGGGCUGCGCCGAAUGGUGUUGAGCCGCCGUUCCGUCCCCAGUCGGCUGCUACGGGGGUUCGGCCGCCGCAAGACACACCGGCGCGGGCGGCCAAGGGCGCCACCUACGCCGGGAAGACGCCAAGCGCGCGUGCGGGGGUGCUGGCCAGGGAGAAGAAGCCGCGUGCAACGCGCCAAGCGCACUGUCUACGCGUGAUUGAAACUGACGGACGAAAAUGACACUGAAAACUGAUUUUUUCUGAAUAUGAACAGCAACAGUGCAUGCCAAGUGUUCGACAGAAUGAUCUAGGCAUCUAGGGAUUUUUCCUUGAGCUGAUUUUUGGUGGAGUGGCUUCUCAUUGCUCCAGUAGGCUGCCUGAUUUUUGGUGAAUUUUUUGGAGAAGUGUAGGUAUGAAUUUCACCAAAUUUGGCAAAUCUGGUCCAAACUUGCAGAGACUGAAUUUUGAAAAAUUUGAAAAGAGAAGGAGUGGAUCAAGAUGGUUCUGGGUUGUGGGUACAAAGGACUUUCCAGGAGAGUUGGUUUGAGGUCAAAACUCAAAUGCAAAAGGGUACUUGCUUUGAAAAACUCUCAGGCUCCAAAUAAUUUUCAGAAAUGAUUUGAGUGAAAAGAAAAUUAGAAUAAAAUCCAAAACUUGCUUGGAUUAGUUGGGACAGAGAACUUAGGUUGAUUACAAGGAGGAGGGGAGGUUUUGGAGGGGUUUUACCACAUGGGCAAAAAUGCAAAGUCAUGGGUGGUUUCCAAGAUAUGAAAAUCCCAAAUUCAUAGAGUUUCUUUUUAAAAGAAAAAAAAUUAAACUCCCAAAAUAAAUUUGAGAGGGAACCAACAGAGAAGAAGUUUCAAAAGAUCAAACACCAUAGCUUGAAUAAAAAUAAAAACCUUGCCAAAAAAAGGAAGUUUUUAAGAGGAAGGUUUUCUGGAAAAAAUUUAAAUGGCCUCUUUUCAAAAACCACAAAGUUUUGCUGAAAACCAAAAUAAAAAUUUUGGAGUGUCACAACACCUACCCCCUUAGGAAAAAUCUCGUCCCCGAGAUUUCAAUUGUUCCUCAAAUAAGUGUGGAUGCUCUGUCCGAAGAAAAUCCUCUCUUUCCCAACUUGCUUCGCUUUCGGUGUGGUUGCUCCACUGAACUCUGAAAAUCUUGAUGGUCUUCUGUCGGGUCCUCCUUUCAGACUCCUCUAAUAUUUUUACUGGGUGUUCCCGAUAAGUGAGGUCUGGCUGUACGUCAAUGUUCUCAUGGGAUACUUGCUUCUCUGGUUUGCUUACGCACUUCCUUAAUUGAGAGACGUGGAACACGUCGUGAAUGUCGGACAAGUCUUCGGGUAAGUCUAGCUGGUAGGCUACAGUGCCUCAUCGUGCCACUAUGCAGAAUGGUCCAAUGAAUCUUGGUGCUAACUUUCCUUUAAUCUUAAACCGUUGCAGUCCCCUCAUAGGUGAUACUCGUAGGUACACAAAUUCACCGGGUUCAAAAUUGACCCCACGAUGUUUCUGAUCGUAAUAACUCUUCCGUCGGCUUUGAGCGGUCUUGAGUCAGUCCCUGAUUAGCUUGACUUUUUCCUCGGCUUCUUUGAGAACGUCUGGGCCGAAGAUACGGCCGUCUCCGGUCUCUGACCAAUUUAGCGGGGUACGACAUCUCCGUCCGUAUAGGGCUUCAAAAGGUGCCAUUUGCAGGCUGGCCUGGUAACUGUUGUUGUAUGCGAACUCGGCAUAUGGAAGGCUUUCUUCCCAACUGGUUCCAUAGGUGAGGACACAUGCUCUCAGCAUGUCUUCUAAAAUUUGGUUUACGCGUUCAGUCUGUCCAUUAGUCUGGGGAUGAUAGGCUGUGCUGAAGACCAAUUGAGUUCCCAGAGCCUGUUGUAAAUGAUCCCAAAAUCUCGAGACAAAUUGAGUGCCUCUGUCGGAUAUUAUAGUCUUCGAGACUCCAUGCAGACAAACUAUACGGGAGAGAUAAAUCCUGGCAAGCUUCUGAGUGUUGUAGGUUGUCUUUACUGGAAUGAAAUAUGCCACCUUGGUUAAUCUAUCGGUGAUGACCCAUAUGGCAUCAUUCCCGUGUCGUGACCGAGGUAGUCCGACAAUAAAAUCCAUCCCUAUUUCAUCCCAUUUCCACUCAGGUAUUUUGUUUGGUUGCAGUAGUCCGGCUGGUUUUUGAUGCUCAACUUUUAUGCGUUGACAAGAAUCGCAACAUGCAACGAAUGUGGCUAUGUCCCUCUUCAUACCGUGCCACCAAAAUCUUUCCUGAAUAUCCUUAUACAUUUUGGUUCCUCCAGGGUGGAUUGAAUAUGGAGUGGUGUGUGCUUCAGCUAGGAUUUGCUGUCUGAGGUCCUCUAUGUUUGGCACGCAGAGUCCGUCCCCGUACCAUAAUAUUCCAUCAUCGCCUAUGACAAAUUCCGAGGCCUUGCCCAUACUCACCUUUCUUUUAAUUCCUUCAAUGCUGGGGUGACCAGGCUGAGCUUCUUUAAUUCUCUCCACAAGGUCGGGCUUUAUUUCCAAGUUUGAUAUGGUGCCUCCCGUGAUCAUUAACAAGUUGAGUUUGGCAAAUUCUUGUUGGAAUUCGGGUCUCAAACUUUGCAGACUGUUUUCGUCGGAGCUGGGGUUUCGACUAAGAGCAUCGACCACUACAUUUGCUUUCCCUGGAUGAUAGUGGAUACCAACAUCAUAAUCCUUUACCAAUUCCAACCAGCGUCGUUGACGUAAGUUUAGUUCUGGCUGUGUGAAAAUAUAUUUGAGACUUUUAUGGUCCAUGUAUAUUUCACAUCGAUUCCCAAGUAAGAAAUGCCUCCAUUCCUUAAGUGCAUGAAUGACUGCUGCCAUUUCUAAAUCAUGAGUGGGAUAAUUUUCCUCAUGCUUGCGGAGUUGUCGUGAAGCGUAUGCGACAACCUUGCCUUCUUGCAUCAACACGCACCCGAGACCUUUUCGGGAUGCGUCACAAUACACCUCAAAGUUUUUGUGUAUGUCUGGCACAAUUAAUACCGGUGCUGUGGUUAAUUUCUGUUUUAACUCUUGGAAACUUUUUUCGCAGGCUUCUGUCCAUUCAAAUUUCUUGUCCUUCUUGAGUAACUGCGUCAUUGGCUUGGCUAGAGUGGAGAAUCCUUCAAUAAAUCUGCGGUAGUAUCCUGCCACUCCCAAGAAACUUCGUAUGUCCGUUAUGCUGGCUGGUGCCUUCCAGUCAAGUAUGGCCCUAAUUUUCUUCGGGUCCACUGCGAUACCGUCUUGGGUCAGCACGUGACCUAGAAAGCCUACUUGUCUUAGCCAAAAUUCGCACUUGCUGAACUUGGCAUACAAUUGAUGUUUCCUGAGUUCUCCUAGCACAAUCCCGAGAUGUUCCGCGUGCUCUUCUGGUGUUUUGGAGUAUAUCAGAAUAUCAUCGAUAAAUACCACAACGAACUUGUCCAUAAACUUCAUAAAUACUUUGUUCAUGAGGUGAACAAAAUAUGCGGGGGCGUUUGUUAAUCCAAAAGGCAUAACUGUGAACUCAUAUAGUCCAUAUCUGGAGGUGAAGGCUGUUUUGGGGAUAUCUUCUGUUCGCACUUUUAAUUGAUGGUAUCCUGACCUUAAGUCAAUCUUUGAGAAUACCUUGGCCUGAGCGAGCUGAUCAAAUAAAUCAUUUAUUCGUGGCAUCGGGUAUUUGUUCUUGACUGUGACCAUGUUAAGUGCUCGGUAGUCUAUGCACAACCUUAGUGUUCCAUCCUUCUUUUUGGCAAAUAGAAUUGGUGAUCCCCAAGGUGAGGAGCUGGCUCGAAUGUAUCCCUUGUCCAGUAAUUCCUUUAUUUGUUUCUUCAACUCGAUCAACUCGGAUGGUGCCAUUCUGUAUGGUUUCUUGUAUAUGGGGGUGGUUCCUGGUGCUAGCUCAAUGCUGAACUCUAUUUCCCGGUCUGGUGGCAUGCCUGGUAGUUCUUCGGGAAAUACGUCUGGAAAUUCACAUACUACUGGAACCUUGCUUAACUCAGAAACGUCCACCUUAUUCAAUCUCGGCUGCCGGGGUAUUUUUCUUUCCUUGGCUGAUACUUUUAUUGUCUUCCCGUGGUGGUGCGUGAGAAUUACGGUCCGGUUGAAACAAUCAAUAAAACCUUUGUUGGUGGUUAACCAGUCCAUCCCUAGGAUGACAUCCAGUCCUUUAUUUUCCAACACAAUAAGAUUGGCGAAAAAUUUCAAUCCUUCGAACUCAAUGACCAUAUUCUGACAGUAACUCUGAGUAACUUGCUGAAUCCCAGGGGACUUGAUGAUCAUGGAUUUUUCCAAGGGAAACAUCGAAAAAUUAUUUUGCAAAGCAAAACUUUUCGAAAUGAAUGAGUGAGAAGCUCCAGAAUCAAACAAAACUGUUGCAGGUAUUGUGUUGACAGGAAACGUACCGAGUAUGAUAUCCGGAGCAUUUUGUGCUUCUUCUUUGGUCACGUGGUUUAGAUGACCCUUCCUGUGGUUGUUGUUGGGGUUGAAAUUGUUGCGCUUGGGCGCUGAAUUAUUUCCACCAUUGUUUGGCUUCGGGGUCGAGUUCCUUGGCUUGGGGCACUGUUUGGCGUAGUGCCCUUCUUCUCCACAAGCGUAGCAAGUAACGCCUGGGCGAUAUGUGAACUCUUUGUCCCUUGCAUGGAAAUUCUUGGUUGGGCGAGAGAUGUUUGUAGGUUUGUGUGUCCCACCUUUCUGAAAAUCUGUCCUGCUUCGGUGGUUGCGUGCAAGAGUAGUCUGGUCUCUUUUUCGCUUACGUAGAUCCUCCAAGCUACGUCUCUCAUUUUCCAGAGUAAUAGCUUUGUCCACUAGUGUCUUAAAAUCCGGAAAAGUGUGAACGACCAGUUGGCAUUUAAGCGCGGGCGCCAGACCAUCAAGGAAUUUCUCCAUCUUCUUGCUUUCAGUCAUACGUUCUUCAUUGGCGUAGCGGGACAAUAGAGUAAAUUGACCGUUGUAUUCUGACACUGUCAUGUUCCUUUGUUUUAGGUCAUCGAACUCUCUCUUCUUAAUUUUCAUAAUACUCUUGGAAAUGUGUGCACCACGGAAACCUUCCUUGAAAUCAUCCCAGGUUAUAUCAUUUUCGUUGGGGUGCAUGUGCAGAAAAUUCUCCCACCAUGAUGUAGCUGCUCCUGUGAGAUAGUGCGGAGCAUAUAGUACUUUCUCGAGAUCUGAACAUUUUGCAAUAAUUAAUUUUCUCUCCGUAUCUCGAAGCCAAUCCUCGGCUUCAAGAGGCUUGUCAGUAUGAGAAAAUGUUUGGGGACGUGUCUUCUGUAGCUCAGAUAACUUGGAAUGCUGCUGAUACUGUCCAUGGUGAUUUCCCAUGUUGAUGACUUGGUUCAUCAUUUCCCGAUGUUGUUGCUGACUCUGCUCAUAAAGGCGGCACAUUUGUGAAAGUGCCGAUUCACUGCCCUGUUGGCUUGACUGUCCCUGAGUGAACUCAUUGCUGGGUUGUGUAUCAUAAUUUUCCUCUGGUGGAGUUGGCAUGGAGCGAGUCCAAGGACGAGACAUUUUUCACUCUGGGGAUAUAUUUGUAAAACCCAUAAGAAAAGCGGAAAGAGUCGCAAAAACAAAUCCGUAAAUGCAUAAAGCUAGCAAAUAAAAUUAAAUAACCAAGCUUACUUAAGAAAAACAAAUCGACUUGCGCACGGAGAAGGACUGCUCAUUACAUAUCUUACACGCGGGUGGUAAUUAUACAAUACAUCACUCAGGAUAUGCGUACAUAAUCCUGACAUGUUAUUUAGGCUAGUGCACUUCUCCAGAUCCUACAUGAUGCGCAAACAGGCUACUUCUCACAACCUAUGUACAUAUAAACAUAUCAUACAAGGCGGUACAUUACAUGGCGGCUAAGCGUACUCAGGCGGAGAUGUUGACGACCUCCUUCAUCCUGCCGAGGGUGAGGCGUAGCAAGGCUGGGGACCCGACUUCUUCCUCGCUAAUAGGCUCCAUACGUGUAGUGUUGCGCAGAGUGGACGGAGCGGGUGCCAGGGGCGGAACAACACGAACAGGAGUGGGCGCGAAGGGUGGUGCAGUGCGCGCUGGAGUGGGCGCAAUGACUUGGUUGAAUUCUUCGGUAGAAGGUAGGCGACGAGUAGGCGUAUAAGAUGCUGAGGACGAGACAAAAGUCAGUGGCGGUGCGGUGGGUAGGAGCUCCCUCCUGUUGGCAGCACAGCCAUGAACUGAGUCCAUGCAGGCAGCCACGAAGUCGUCCACCAGGUUGUCGAAGGCUGCCUCCAGGGCCCGGAGAUACUCAAUGAGCAUCUCAAAAGCCUCGUCUCGUUCUCCUCUGGGGCAGGAGAAUGCGUAGUGACAGGUGUAAGGCACAUGGCAUGGAAGAUAACGGUAACGACGAGUCUUCAUCAUGGGGAGGACAUCCCUGAGACGAGCUAUCGCCUCGCGGGCUGCCAUCUGCAUAGCAUGCCUCUCCGUAGGCAUGUCUCUUCCCAAGAACCGGAAGCGGCGUAACUCACCACGCCCUCCCUUGAACUGCACCGCGGCCUGGUGCAUGGUCAGACUGUCGUUGACUCGGUGCUGGCAGAGUGUGAAGACUGGGCGCACAGAUGGCCCCAUCGCGACCUGAACGAUGAAGGAAAGAAGCUUGACGAACCCAUCGGGUACGUUGGCGAAGGUCUGAGACUCGCAGCUGUUGUCGGUCAUCUACAAACGUAGGCAAAAAUUCUGCAUGGUCAGAUCAUAAAUUUAUGCUGACUGACAGAAAAUGACUACAAUCAAGAAAAUAUGGAAAGGCUCAAUCAUGCUAAUAACCAAUUAGCGAUCGCACCUAGUGGCUUCCUACAGUCAGCCUGGCUCUGGUACCAAGCUUGUCACGACCGGUUUUCCAAUAAAAAUAUUUAUUGAGAAACCAAUCUUUUGAGUCCAGUAUGAGAGAAAUCCUCCUCACUGGUAGACAAAUUCUUGAUACAAUAAGCCAGUAGCAUAAAAUAUAUUACAGGGUCGAACGACGGUUGCUCAACCAAAUUAUUACAAGCACGCCAAUAAUUAUACAUAAUGGCGGACAUGACACAGUGGUGUGGAGGCAUACUACUGACUCGAGGAUAGGGCGGUGGUGGAAAAACACAGUGGGGAGAGAGAUACAAGUCUCUAAAACUGUCAUCUCAUCGAGCGUCGAGGUGAGGCUCGAUGAAUUUAUUUGGUAGCGGAAGCGGAUAUAAUACAGUGACCAAAUCCAGGGUUGUACGAGACUAACUGGGACUCCUCUAGGCGUCGGACUCGCUAUCAAAUUCUUCAUCCAUGAGAUCGCCUUUGUCAGCAUCUGGCCAAAUCAACAAGCCAGUGAGUACUUUGAAAGUACUCGCAAGACAGUUCGGACGUAAGAUAUAACAAAUGCAUGCAUGAAUGUGUCAUGAUUAAUUCACCAAUGUACAUUCAAAAAUUAGCAUAACAAGGUAAGUAAAAGGGAAACGGCGGUAGUCCGCCUGAAAUCCCACAAAACAUAAAUGAAGACCGAUCGGGUGUCUGAAGCGAUGCCUUGAAAGGUGAACAAAUAAAUAUAAGGAAAUGAUGCCACAGUCGGGCGUCUUAGCGACACCACAUAAAGGGCUUUAAAAGAAAUGCCACUGUCGGACGUCGGGGCGACAUCACAGAAAGGGCUUUAAAAGAAAAUACCACAGUCGGGCGUCUUAGCGACACCACAUAAAGGGCUUUAAGAGAAAUGUCACAGUNNNNNNNNNNNNNNNNNNNNNNNNNNNNNNNNNNNNNNNNNNNNNNNNNNNNNNNNNNNNNNNNNNNNNNNNNNNNNNNNNNNNNNNNNNNNNNNNNNNNNNNNNNNNNNNNNNNNNNNNNNNNNNNNNNNNNNNNNNNNNNNNNNNNNNNNNNNNNNNNNNNNNNNNNNNNNNNNNNNNNNNNNNNNNNNNNNNNNNNNNNNNNNNNNNNNNNNNNNNNNNNNNNNNNNNNNNNGUCGGGGCGACAUCACAGAAAGGGCUUAAAAAGAAAUACCACAGUCGGGCGUCUUAGCGACACCACAUAAAGGGCUUUAAGAGAAAUGCCACAGUCGGACGUCGGGGCGACGUCACAGAAAGGGCUUUAAAAUAAAUGCCACAGUCGGGCGUCUUAGCGACACCACAUAAAGGGCUUGAAAAGAAAGUAAAAUACAACAAUGCAACAGUCGGACGUCUGAGCGACAUCGCAUAAAGGGCUUUUAUUCACAAGUAAAUAAUACUCAUAAUAAACAUUCAAUUCAUGAGAAUAAAUGGGUUAGUCCAUUCACAGGAAUAAUCAUUUAACCGGACUUAGCACUCAUGCGAUUCACCAGAGUCACUGUCAUCAAAACUGACAUUUGAUCAGGAUAAGAUAAUAUCGAUCUUGGACAUGGAAUAGAUGAUUUGGAGGAAUAUAUGACUCUGCAGAGUUUGUACAAAAAUUUUCCCACAGCCAACGGAUUUCCGUAGUCCCGAAGGACUAGUUCCGCUUACGGUUUUUCGGGAGAAAACACAGCUAACCAGUACACACCCAUUCUACCUCUCGAUGCUAGGAAUCACCCUAGACAUCGUCCAAGAAAAACUUUUGAGACGGGGAGAUCACAAUCUCGAAUAGCAUGGGAUCAAAUUUAUACACGCGCGCUCUAAGGGGUGCCCCCCUCUCGGUCCCAACCGGAAACACCCAUGCCCCCUGACCGGAUGACUGGCUUUAAUCCAGGGCCAUGGAACCAUCAUCACGGCCUCUCCUUUCUGGUGUGUACCAGGAAAGCGGUUUACAACUUACUAAGCCAUAUUCCUUGCGGAAAACAUGUGGUAGUACAAGGAAGGAAGAAUGGAAGGAACUGGAAUGAUACGAGUUGACAUUUAAGUCACAUAGUCUGGCAUAAGCCUGGCAUGCUACAACACUGCCAUCUUACCCAUCCUCAUGCCAACACAUGGCCAUGCAUACUCACAUCCAUCCACUCAUGGAUUUUCGGAACUCACUUGCCUCAUCGUCUCAGGUAACAGGACAUUCAUCGGUAUGUUCAUCAACAUGCCAUAAACUACUUAAUGCAAACAUGCCAAAACAAUCAUCAUAUCAAAAGUUCAAACAUGCUUGCCUGGUUUGGAGUAGUCGGAGCCUAGCUCGGUGAAGUUCGCGGCUCCGUCACCUCCUUCGGUAUCUACGGUAUAAAGAAAAUAUAUGCGCUAUCGUAAAUGCCAAGAGGUGCACAAACAGUAUUCCAAAUUUUUUUCAAAGAAAUCUGAUAAAAAACUAGACAAAAUUUUAAAGAGGACAGAAAAAGAAUCAAUCAAAAAUACUUUUCUGUUUAAAAGUUAUAAGGGUUUUAAUCCAGGGACUCAUCUGUAAUGAAACAGAAAGUUCCCAGGGGCUAGCUUACAAAAACAGAAAAUGACUCGAAUAAGAAUGCGCCGGCCCAGCGGGAAGACGUAUUUGGCAGAAGACGUUUUCAGAAAACGCUUCGCUUAGACAGGACAGAGAGGCUGACAGGCGGGUCCCGCCCGUCAGGUUUGAAUAUUUAAACGGGGCGGCAGAGUUCGCCGGUGCCCGAGAGCCGCGGUGGUCGCCGGCGGCGAUCCACGGUGAGGCAGGGGGAUCGGAGGGUACCUCCGUGUUCAGGGCACCUUCCCGCGUCGGUUGGUGGUGGUGGUGGUCGCCAACGAGUACCACGUCGGCGGCGAGCCCUGCUCCGGCGGACGGCGGUUCGGGUGGUCGAGGGACUCGUCGGAGAGAGCUGCGAAGGACAAAUCGAUGUUGGCGUUAGCUUACUGGGUGCUAGAGGAGGCUAUAGACAAGAUUUGGGCGCCGGGGACGGCCUCACCGGAGCGAAUCGAGGUGGAGGCCGAGGCGGGUUGGGGCGGCCGGAGUUGGGGGAGGAGACCUCCUCGAGGUCCUCCUAGUGGCCUGGCGGGGCUUUGGUGAGGUGUAGAGGUGGUGCGUGCUCGAGGGUGAGCUCGGGGGACCUUUUUAUAGGCGGUCCGAGGCGGUGGCCGUGAACGGGGAUCUCCGGUGAAGGUUACGGCGGCGCAGGGCUUGGUCGGGGGUGAUUAGGGAGUUGGGCAUCGUCGUUGAGGUCCACCGGUUCCAUUUAGGUGCUAAUCGGGCUGGGAUUUGGUGCUAUGGGCGAGUUCGACAGAACGGGGCGGCGCGGGCCCGUCGGCGGCAGUGAGCAUGUUCCGUGCUUGCCGGGCCACGGCGACGGUGCCACGGGCGUGCGCUGGCAUGCAUGAGGCCACGCGGAGAGCAGAGGGGCGUUGGGCGGCGCCGAACGGCGUUGAGCCGCCAUUCCGUCCCCUGUCGGCUGCUACGGGGGUUCGGCCGCCGCAAGACACGCCGGCGCGAGCGGCCAAGGGUGCCACCGACGCCGGGAAGACGCCAAGCGCGCGUGCGGGGGUGCUGGCCAGGGAGAAGAAGCCGCGUGCAACGCGCCAAGCGCACUGUCUACGCGUGAUUGAAACUGACGGACGAAAACGACACUGAAAACUGAAUUUUUCUGAAUAUGAACAGCAACAGUGCACGCCAAGUGUUCGACAGAAUGAUCUAGGCAUCUAGGGAUUUUUCCUUGAGCUGAUUUUUGGUGGAGUGGCUUCUCAUUGCUCCAGUAGGCUGCCUGAUUUUUGGUGAAUUUUUGGAGAAGUGUAGGUAUGAAUUUCACCAAAUUUGGCAAAUCUGGUCCAAACUUGCAGAGACUGAAUUUUGAAAAAUUUGAAAAGAGAAGGAGUGGAUCAAGAUGGUUCUGGGUUGUGGGUACAAAGGACUUUCCAGGAGAGUUGGUUUGAGGUCAAAACUCAAAUGCAAAAGGGUACUUGCUUUGAAAAACUCUUAGGCUCCAAAUAAUUUUCAGAAAUGAUUUGAGUGAAAAGAAAAUUAGAAUAAAAUCCAAAACUUGCUUGGAUUAGUUGGGACAGAGAACUUAGGUUGAUUACAAGGAGGAGGGGAGGUUUUGGAGGGGUUUUACCACAUGGGAAAAAUGCAAAGUCAUGGGUGGUUUCCAAGAUAUGAAAAUCCCAAAUUUUCAUAGAGUUUCUUUUUAAAAGAAAAAAAAUUAAACUCCCAAAAUAAAUUUGAGAGGGAACCAACAGAGAAGAAGUUUCAAAAGAUCAAACACCAUAGCUUGAAUAAAAAUAAAAACCUUGCCAAAAAAAGGAAGUUUUUAAGAGGAAGGUUUUCUGGAAAAAUUUUAAAUGGCCUCUUUUCAAAAACCACAAAGUUUUGCUGAAAACCAAAAUAAAAAUUUUGGAGUGUCACAAAUGCCCCCCUUUAGUCCCGGUUGGUGCCACCAACCGGAAGCAAAAGGCCUCUGCUUCCCGCCCUUUGGGCUGCUGAAAAGUGAUCUUUGGUCCUGGUUGAUGGCACCAACCGGGACUAAAGGGGGCAUUGGUCCCGGUUGGUGCCACGAACCGGGACCAAUGCUCCUGGUAUAUAAAUAGCACUUAGCAAUUUUGCAGAGUUCAUCACCACGGUUGCCCCCGACGACGCCAAGCACAUCGUCGCCGCCAGGCUGCCCCAACACCACCCGUCGCCGUCGCCCACGCCCAUCGUCCUCGUCGCCCGCACCCUCGCCCGACGCCGUCGCCGCGCGCCGUCCCUGCCCCGACGAGCGCUGCCCCUGCCCCGCCGCGUGCCGCUCCUGCCCCGACGUCNNNNNNNNNNNNNNNNNNNNNNNNNNNNNNNNNNNNNNNNNNNNNNNNNNNNNNNNNNNNNNNNNNNNNNNNNNNNNNNNNNNNNNNNNNNNNNNNNNNNNNNNNNNNNNNNNNNNNNNNNNNNNNNNNNNNNNNNNNNNNNNNNNNNNNNNNNNNNNNNNNNNNNNNNNNNNNNNNNNNNNNNNNNNNNNNNNNNNNNNNNNNNNNNNNNNNNNNNNNNNNNNNNNNNNNNNNNNNNNNNNNNNNNNNNNNNNNNNNNNNNNNNNNNNNNNNNNNNNNNNNNNNNNNNNNNNNNNNNNNNNNNNNNNNNNNNNNNNNNNNNNNNNNNNNNNNNNNNNNNNNNNNNNNNNNNNNNNNNNNNNNNNNNNNNNNNNNNNNNNNNNNNNNNNNNNNNNNNNNNNNNNNNNNNNNNNNNNNNNNNNNNNNNNNNNNNNNNNNNNNNNNNNNNNNNNNNNNNNNNNNNNNNNNNNNNNNNNNNNNNNNNNNNNNNNNNNNNNNNNNNNNNNNNNNNNNNNNNNNNNNNNNNNNNNNNNNNNNNNNNNNNNNNNNNNNNNNNNNNNNNNNNNNNNNNNNNNNNNNNNNNNNNNNNNNNNNNNNNNNNNNNNNNNNNNNNNNNNNNNNUAUAAUAUUUUCUAUUUUUUCUUCUUCUCCUCUAUUCCUUUCUUCGUUUUCUCUUUUUUUCUUUUUUUCUUUGAUCUUCUCUUCUAUUCCUUUCUUCUUCUCCUCUUUUUAUUUCUUCUUUUGUCUUCUUAUUUUUUAUCGGGUAUGUCGUUGUCGAUCUCCCGAUAACUUCAAUAUAGGGGGGGGGGUCGAUAUACCCCCUUCCUGAUAACAUUAUUUUCCCAUGUAUGUAUGUCGUCAUUGUCGAUAUAACCCCCUCCCGGAUAACUUCGACAUGAGGGGCGGUCGAUAUAUAUACCCCCUCUCGAUCGUGAUACUUAUACCACGGGAGCGACCCCCCGGCCCUCUCGCUCGACCAAAACUCUUGAGGACACCCAAACCCUAGAAAAAAUGAUGUCGGUCUCCUACCCCCUCCCGCCGCGCCCCUACCCGACAAACUCUCUCGAGGCCACCGAAAUUUACCAAGUUAAAAAAGCGUUGUCAUCGAGGCCACCCCAGACCCUUGAAGCAUUGUCGAGGCCACCCCAAACCCUUGAAGCGUUGAUGAGGCCACCCCAAACCCUAGAGAAGCAGCGUCGAGGCCACUAAUAUGAUUCCUUGUUGUGAUUAGCUAGCUAGUUCUACGUUUGCCACUAAUAGAUCCAUCUACCAUGUUGUAAAUAUUUGCAGAAACUAUGGAGCACCCUCGAGACGAAGUAAUAGAAGCGAUGUUGGGGGACAUAAUCGCAAAAGGAAGUGAUGCCGUAUUGUCGUAUCUCAACGACACCGGUGGUCUGGAAGGACAGGGUGAAGAAGAAGACUAUGAUUAUGAUGGCUCCGGUGACCCAAUGCCGGUACAAGAAGGAGACCGUGAUGACGGCUCCGGUGACCGAACCGAGUCCGGCCAGGUAUAUAUAUUAGUUAAGCCUAUGCUGACUAGCUAAUUGAUGCAUUCAUUGUUUUCAUAUGUACACAUAUUAAUUAACUCUCGUCUUCCUUCUUUUUUCCAGCCCUCCGGAUUGAGCACAACUUCGGUUAAGAGACGAGGCCCGAAGAAAUAGUUGCGUUUGCAUGAAAGGUUUGAGAUCAUAGCAAUCGCGCGCGAUGGCAAGCUGAUUGAACCCAUGCGAACAAAGGAUGCAUUUGCUGCUCAGUGCGGGGUUCUUGUUAGAGACAAGAUCCCGAUCAGUAUCCACCAAUGGUUAAAGCCUAAGAAUGAAGACCCUGAGGUGUCUUAUGUCUCCGAUAUGCAGAAAGAUGAUCUUUGGACAACGCUUAAGGCAAAUUUCGCCCUACCGCCAGAGGAGGAUUCAGAGAAGCCAGUUAAAGAGCAAUUGGUCAAGUCUCAUGCUCUUAAGAAGAUAGCAGAACUAUUCAGGAGGUGGAAGAAUGAGCUGAAAACAGAGUUUUUCAAUGAAGGAAAGACACCAGAAUUCACCGAAAAGUAUGAGAAGAUCAGAGAUCACUGGCCCGCAUUUGUGGCCCACAAGACAUCGGGAAAGAGUAAGAAGAUGUUAGCGACAAACAAGAAAAAUGCAGCGAAAAAGAAGCAUCACCAUCGCACGGGGUCAGGUGGCUACCUCAAAGCCCGACCGUUGUGGGCCAAGGCUGAGAAUGACCUGAUUGAUAAAGGGGUCAAACCAGAGACAUUGAACUCGCCAGACCGUUGCCGGACUUGGUUCUUCGGGGUUGGCGGAACCUUGGACCCUGUAUCAGGGAGGUGCGUUUGGACGGACGAGCAACUGCAAAUACCUAUCACGGGGCUUCAGGAGUAUAUCGAGGCAUCGCAGCAAGGGACGUUCGUUCCAGACAGAGAGAAGGACGAGCUCACAAUGGCCCUCGGGAAUCCUGAGCACCCUGCACGGACACGAGGCACGCCAGGCUCCCUUCCGUGGAAGGCUGGGUUUCUGAACGUAGGGGGUUACAAAUUCCAGGAGAGGAGGAAGAAAGUGGAGCAUAGCCAACUGCAGGCGCUGCACGCAAGGGUACAAGCGAUAGAGGAACGAGAUGCAAAUCACAUCAAAUGACCUGCCGAAGCUUCCCCUGAAGCUACCCCGCCAUCUCAGCGGAGAAGCAGCGUGGCUUCCACCGAGCAACUUCAGCUGGAGCCUGUCUUCACGGCUCCUGCUAACUACCCCGUGGAUGCUAUCACAGAGUCUCAACAUUGCCACCUUAUGAUGUAAAGGAUGAAAUUCAAAUUCAAGGCGGUUGUUGGCUCUAUUUUACCUACUGAACUUGGCGAAACCUACCACUGCCGGUCGAUUCUAGAAGGAUAUGCUAGGGUGAUGGUGGAUGAAAUAACGGACGGAUUUGAUCAGGACCUCGAGCUUGACCACCCUAUGGGUGAAGGGGAGAUUCGGCUGGGUUCUUCUCUGAAGACUCCAUGCUUAUGGUAGAAGGAGCUCAUUAACCUUCUAAACUGGACGCCUCUGCCUCCUCCUCCUCCUCCGGCAAGUUAGGGCACUCCACCUCCUCCUCCGGUGAGUAAUCAGGGCACUCAGCUUCCUCCUCCGACGAGUGAUCAGGGCACUCAGCCUCCUUCUUCGGCGCGUGUCGGCACUCCGCCUCCUUCUCCGCCUGCGCUGGCGCGCCCGAGCAGCCAGCCUCCUCCUUCUCUGCCUCAUCAAUAAGGGCGGAAGAGACCCGCCGCUGCUCCGGCUGCUCCGGCGUGUCGUAGUUUGAUACGUCUCCAAUGUAUCUAUAAUUUUUGAUUGUUUCAUGGUAUUAUAUUACCCCUUUUGGAUGUUUAUGGGCUUUAUUUUACAUAUUUAUAUCAUUUUUGGGACUAACCAACUAACCGGAGGCCCAGCCCGUAUUGCUACUUUUUUUGCCUAUUUCAGUAUUUCGAAGAAAAGGAAUAUCAAACGGAGUCCAAACGGAAUGAAACCUUCGGGAGCGUGAUUUUUGGAACGGACGUGAUCCGGAGAACUUGGAGUGCAAGUCAAGAAGCAAACGAGGUGGCCAGGAGAUAGGAGGGUGCGCCCACCCCUCCUGGGCGCGCCCCUGUCUUCUGGGCCCCUCAGGCGGCCACCGACGUACUUCUUCCUCCUAUAUAUACCUACGUAACCCGAAAACAUCUAGGGAGCCAACGAAAACCUAAUUCCACCGCUGUAACCUUAUGUAUCCGCGAGAUCCCAUCUUGGAGCCUUCGUCGGGGCUCCGCCGGAGGGGGAAUCAACCACGGAGGGCUUCUACAUCAACACCAUAGCCCCUCCGAUGAGUUGUGAGUAGCUUACCACAGACCUUCGGGUCCAUAGUUAUCAGCUAGAUGGCUUCUUCUCUCUUUUUGGAUCUCAAUACAAUGUUCUCCCCCUCUCUUGUGGAGAUCUAUUCGAUGUAAACUCUUUUUGUGGUGUGUUUGUCGAGAUCCGAUGAAUUGUGGGUUUAUGAUCAAGUUUAUCUAUGAGAAAUAUUUGGAUCUUCUCUGAAUUCUUUUAUGUAUGAUUGAGUUAUCUUUGCAAGUCUCUUCGAAUUAUCAGUUUGGUUUGGCCUACUAUAUUGAUCUUUCUUGCCAUUGGAGAAGUGCUUAGCUUUGGGUUCAAUCUGGCGGUGUCCUUACCCAGUGACAGAAAGGGUUGCAAGGCACGUAUUGUAUUGUUGCCAUCGAGGAUAAAAAUAUGGGGUUUAUAUCAUAUUGCAUGAGUUUAUCCCUCUACAUCAUGUCAUCUUUCUUAAUGCGUUACUCUGUUCUUAUGAACUUAAUACUCUAGAUGCAUGUUGGAUAGCGGUCGAUGUGUGGAGUAAUAGUAGUAGAUGCAGGCAGGAGUCGGUCUACUUGUCGCGGACGUGAUGCCUAUAUACAUGAUCAUGCCUAGAUAAUCUCAUAAUUAUUCACUUUUCUAUCAAUUGCUCGACAGUAAUUUGUUCACCCAUCAUAAUACUUAUGCUAUCUUGAGAGAAGCCACUAGUGAAACCUAUGGCCCCCGGGUCUAUCUUUUAUCAUAUAAGAUUUCAAUCUACUUUUAUUUGCAUCUUUACUUUUUGCGUCCAUAUUAUAAAAUACCAAAAAUAUAUUUAUCUCAUCAUACUAUCUCUAUCAGAUCUCACUUUUGCAAGUGUCCGUGAACGGAUCGACAACCCCUUUAUUGCGUUGGUUGCGAGUUCUUUGUUUGUUUGUGUACGUGCAUGGGACUUUUGAGGAGCCUCCUACUGGAUUGAUACCUUGGUUCUCAAAAACUGAGGGAAAUACUUACGCUACUCUGCUGCAUCACCCUUUCCUCUUCAAGGAAAACCAACGCAUGCUCAAGACGUAGCAUAGUCCUUCUCCUCCGCCUCGUAAGAAAGGAAAGAGAGCCGCAGCCGCUCCGUCUGCUCCGCCGUCUAGCAAUACAGCCAGAGGUGGGAGGCAAUACAGAUUCGGUCCUUCUCUGAAGACUCCAGAGAAGUUACCAUACGAGAGGAGCCUGAAGGAAAACGCGAAGAUCGUGUGAGCCGAAGUGAAGAACUUCUUUGAAGGGGUGAAAGCAAAGAAACAUCCACCUCCGGAGGAGAAGAUAGAUCCGGUAAAAGCGAAGUGUACUCUGGCUGCCCUGAAGAAACCACCAAAGUCUCCGCCGGAAGGCAAGUAUGAGCGCAUUAUUGAAAAGUCAUUUAUCAAAGAGGAGCGGUCGGGAAGUACUGUUAGUGAUCAAAGGUUAGCAGAACGACGAGCUGGGAAAAAAAUUACCCAGCUCGGCGAACAAGCGAACCAAUCAUCCCCCCUGCUCCUAGUGUCUAGCGAUAUCGUCGCUAAUGAUCCGAGGAUGAUGUCCGGUUAUAACAAUCUUGGAGAUUACCUGCCAGACGAUGUACAUUAUGAUUUCUUGGAGGUGGACAAACACAAAUACGAGUACGGGAAGCCUCUCGUCAAAGAUGAAAGAUCUCUAACAACGAUGAUGCGAAGAUUCCAUGAUGGGUACAUGAAAACCUGCAGAGAGUCUGAGGGGAGGAAUAUUUUGACGCUGAGAGUUAGAGAGGAGCAUGACCUCGUUGGAAUUGAACUGUUGAAUGUUCCAUUUGACGAGUUCUUCGCGUUUUUCAAUCAAAAGGCCCUUGAUAAAUUAACGGUCACUUGCUACUGCCUGUAAGUAGUACUACUUCUGUCAUUAAGUCUCUAUAUAUAGGUCAGCUCUUUCAUUGCAUGUAUUUUUAAUUAUCCUCACUAUAUUAUGCAGAUUGAAGAUCGCCGAAUUAAAGGAAAGAAAAAUCGGUGAUAUUGGGUUCAUUAAGACAAAUCUCAUAGAUGCAUAUAUGGUUGAAUUUCAGUCCAGAGAUACCGAGGCCAAGUUGCUACAAUCGUUUGUAUUAAAUCAAAACAAAGCUAUAAUACUCUUUCCUUACAACUUCAAGUGAGUGUUACUGUCUUGUGCAUAUUCGGUUUCCCUUAUUAGUCGAGGUUAUAGUUAUUUAAUUGAUUAGUUAUGCAUGCGUGCGCAGCUUCCACUAUAUUCUCCUAGAGAUUAAGCUUGAGCAGGGACUAGUAACCGUCUUAGACUCGAGACGAAAAGAUCCCAAGGAGUAUGUGGAUGUUGGGGAACGUAGUAAUUUCAAAAAAAUUCCUACGCACACGCAAGGAUCAUGGUGAUGCAUAGCAACGAGAGGUGAGAGUGUUGCCCACGUACCCUCGUAGACCGAAAGCGGAAGCGUUAGAACAACGCGUUUGAUGUAGUCGUACAUCUUCAUGAUCCGACCGAUCCAAGUACCGAACGUACGGCACCUCCGAGUUCAGCACACGUUCAGCUCGAUGACGAUCCCCGGACUCCGAUCCAGCAGUGUGUCGGGGAUGAGUUCCGUCAGCACGACGGCGUGGUGACAAUGAUGAUGUUCUACCGACGCAGGGUUUCGCCUAAGCACCGCAACAAUAUGAACGAGGUGGAAUAUGGUGGAGGGGGCACCACACACAGCUAAGGAACGGUCACGAAGAUCAACUUGUGUGUCUUUGGGGUGCCCCCCUGCCCCCGUAUUUAAAGGAGCAAGGGGGGGGGGGGCGGGGCGGCCACCCCUUGGGGCGCGCCAAGGAGGGGGGAGUCCUCCUCCUAGUAGGAGUAGGACUCCCCUUUCCUAGUCCAACUAGGAAGAGGGAAGGGGGAAGGAAAGAGAGGGAGAGGGAGAGGGAAAGAGGGGCCGCGCCCCUCUCCCCUAGUCCAAUUCAGACUCCUCAUGGGAGGGGGCACGCCACCUCCUAGGCUGCUUCCCUCUCUCUCCCCUCAGGCCCACUAAGGCCCAAUACUUCCCCGGGGGGUUCCGGUAACCCCUCCGGCACUUCGGUUUUCUCCGAAAUCACCCGGAACACUUCCGGUGUCUGAAUAUAGUCGUACAAUAUAUCAAUCUUUAUGUCUCGACCAUUUCGAGACUCCUCGUCAUGUCCGUGAUCACAUCCGGGACUCCGAACAACCUUCAGUACAUCAAAACUUAUAAACUCAUAAUAAAAUUGUCAUCGUAACGUUAAGCGUGCGGACCCUACGGGUUCGAGAACUAUGUAGACAUGACUUAGAACUGUUUCCGGUCAAUAACCAAUAGCGGAACCUAGAUGCUCAUAUUGGCUCCUACAUAUUCUACGAAGAUCUUUAUCGGUCAAACCGCAUAACAACAUACGUUGUUCCCUUUGUCAUCGGUAUGUUACUUGCCUGAGAUUGGAUCAUCGGUGUCCAAUACCUAGUUCAAUCUCGUUAUGGGCAAGUCUCUUUACUCGUUACAUAAUGCAUCAUUCCGUAACCAACUCAUUGGCCACAUUGCUUGCAAGGCUUAUAGUGAUGUGCAUUACCGGGAGGGCCAAGAGAUACCUCUCUGACAAUCGAAGUGGCAAAACCUAAUCUUGAAAUAUGCCAAAUCAACAUGUACCAUUGGAGACACCUGUAGAGCUCCUUUAUAAUCACCCAGUUACGUUGUGAUGUUUGGUAGCACACAAAGUGUUCAUCUGGUAAACGGGAGUUACACAAUCUCAUAGUUGUAGGAACUUUGUAUAAGUCAUGAAGAAAGCAAUAGCAACAUAUUAAACGAUCAAUUGCUAAGCUAACGGAAUGGGUCCGGUCAAUCACAUCAUUCUCCUAAUGAAGUGACCCCGUUAACCAAAUGACAACACAUGUCUAUGGUUUAGGAAACAUAACCAUCUUUGAUUAAUGACCUAGUCAAGUAGAGGCAUACUAGUGACAUUAAGUUUGUCUAUGUAUUCACACAUGUAUCAUGUUUCCGGUUAAUACAAUUCUAGCAUGAAUAAUAAACAUUUAUCAUGAUAUGAGGAAAUAAAUAAUAACUUUAUUAUUGCCUCUAGGGCAUAUUUCCUUCAGUCCCCACUUGCACUAGAGUCAAUAAUCUAGAUUACACAGUAAUGAUUCUAACACCCAUGGAGUCUUGGUGUUGAUCAUGUUUUGCUCGUGGAAGAGGCUUAGUCAAUGGGUCUGCAACAUUCAGAUCCGUAUGUAUCUUGCAAAUCUCUAUGUCUCCCACCUGGACUUGGUCCCGGAUGGAAUUGAAGCGUCUCUUGAUGUGCUUGGUCGUCUUGUGAAAUCUAGAUUCCUUUGCCAAGGCAAUUGCACCAGUAUUGUCACAGAAGAUCUUCAUUGGUGCCGAUGUACUAGGUAUGACACCUAGAUCGGAAAUGAACUCCUUCAUCCAGACUCCUUCAUUUGCUGCUUCCGAAGCAGCUAUGUACUCCGCUUCGCAUGUAGAUCCCGCCACGACGCUUUGUUUAGAACUGCACCCAUUUACAGCUCCACCGUUUAAUAAAAACACGUAUCCGGUUUGCGAUUUAGAAUCGUCCGGAUCAGUGUCAAAGCUUGCAUCAACGUAACCAUUUAUGACUAGCUCUCUGUCACCUCCAUAAACGAGAAACAUAUCCUUAGUCCUUUUCAGGUAUUUCAGGAUGUUCUUGACCGCUGUCCAGUGAUCCACCCUGGAUUACUUUGGUACCUACCUGCCAAGCUUAUUGCUAAGCAUACAUCAGGUCUGGUACACAACAUUGCAUACAUGAUAGAGCCUAUGGCUGAAGCAUAGGGAACAUCUUUCAUUUUCUCUCUAUCUUCUGUUGUGGUCGGGCAUUGAGUCUGACUCAACUUCACACCUUGUAAUAUAGGCAAGAACCCUUUCUUUGCUUGAUCCAUUUUGAAAUUUUUCAAAACUUUAUCAAGGUAUGUGCUUUGUGAAACUCCAAUUAAGCAUCUUGAUCUAUCUCUAUAGAUCUUGAUGCCCAAUAUGUAAGCAGCUUCACCGAGGUCUUUCAUUGAAAAACUUUUAUUCAAGUAUCCCUUUAUGCUAUCCAGAAAUUCUAUAUCAUUUCCAAUUAACAAUAUGUCAUCUACAUAUAAUAUCAGAAAUGCUACAGAGCUCCCACUCACUUUUUUGUAAAUACAGGCUUCUCCAAAAGUCUGUAUAAAACCAUAUGCUUUGAUCAAACUAUCAAAGCAUUUAUUCCAACUCCGAGAUGCUUGAACCAGUCCAUAAAUGGAUCGCUGGAGCUUGCACACUUUGUUAGCACCUUUUGGAUCAACAAAACCUUCUGGUUGCAUCAUAUACAACUCUUCUUCCAGAAAUCCCUUCAGGAAUACAAUUUUAACAUCCAUUUGCCAAAUUUCAUAAUCAUAAAAUGCUGCAAUUGCUAACAUGAUUCGGACAGACUUAAUCAUUGCUACGAGUGAGAAAGUCUCAUCAUAGUCAACCCCUGGAACUUGUCGAAAACCUUUCGCAACAAGUCGAGCUUUGUAGACAAUUAUAUUACCAUCAGCGUCAGUCUUCUUCUUGAAGAUCCAUUUAUUCUCGAUGGCUUGCCGAUCAUCGGGAAAGUCAACCAAAGUCCAUACUUUGUUCUCAUACAUGGAUUCCAUCUCAUAUUUCAUGGCCUCAAGCCAUUUCGCGGAAUCUGGGCUCAUCAUCGCUUCCUCAUAGUUUGUAGGUUUGCCAUGGUCAAGUAACAUGACUUCCAGAAUAGGAUUAUCGUACCACUCUGGUGCGGAUCUUACUCUGGUAGACCUACGAGGUUCAGUAGUAAUUUGAUCUGAAGUUUCAUGAUCAAUAUCAUUAGCUUCCUCACUAAUUGGUGUAGUUGUCACAGGAACCGGUUCUUGUGAUGAACUACUUUCCAGCAAGGGAGCAGGUACAGUUACCUCAUCAAGUUCUACUUUCCUCCCACUCACUUCUUUCGAGAGAAACUCCUUCUCUAGAAAGGAUCCAAAUUUAGCAAUAAAAAUCUUGCCUUCAGAUCUGUGAUAGAAGGUGUACCCAAUAGUCUCUUUUGGGUAUCCUAUGAAGACACAUUUCUCCGAUUUGGGUUCGAGCUUAUCUGGUUGAAGUUUCUUCACAUAAGCAUCGCAACCCCAAACUUUAAGAAACGACAACUUUGGUUUCUUGCGAAACCACAGUUCAUAAGGCGUCGUCUCAACGGAUUUUGAUGGUGCCCUAUUUAACGUGAAUGCGGCCGUCUCUAAAGCAUAACCCCAAAAUGAUAGCGGUAAAUCAGUAAGAGACAUCAUAGAUCGCACCAUAUCUAAUAAAGUACAAUUACGAUGUUCGGACACACCAUUUCGUUGUGGUGUUCCAGGUGGCGUGAGUUGUGAAACUAUUCCGUAUUGUUUCAAAUGUAGACCAAACUCGUAACUCAAAUAUUCUCCUCCACGAUCAGAUCGUGGAAAUUUUAUUUUCUUGUUACGAUGAUUUUCCACUUCACUCUGAAAUUCUUUAAACUUUUCAAAUGUUUCGGACUUGUGUUUCAUCAAGUAGAUAUACCCAUAUCUGCUCAAAUCAUCUGUGAAGGUGAGAAAAUAACGAUACCCGCCACGAGCUUCAAUAUUCAUUGGGACACAUACAUCAGUAUGUAUGAUUUCCAAUAAAUCAGUUGCUCGCUCCAUAGUUCCGGAGAACGGCGUUUUAGUCAUCUUGCCCAUGAGGCACGGUUCGCAAGUACCAAGUGAUUCAUAAUCAAGUGAUUCCAAAAGUCCAUCAGUAUGGAGUUUCUUCAUGCGCUUUACACCGAUAUGACCUAAACGGCAGUGCCACAAAUAAGUUGCACUAUUAUUAUGAACUCUACAUCUUUUGGCUUCAACAUUAUGAAUAUGUGUAUCACUACUUUCGAGAUUCAAUAAAAAAAGACCACUCUUCAAGGGUGCAUGACCAUAAAAGAUAUUACUCAUAUGAAUAGAACAACCAUUAUUCUCUAAUUUAAAUGAAUAACCGUCUCGCAUCAAACAAGAUCCAGAUAUAAUAUUCAUGCUCAAUGCUGGCACCAAAUAACAAUUAUUUAGGUCUAAAACUAAUCCCGAUGGUAGAUGUAGAGGUAGCGUGCCGACCGCGAUCACAUCGACUUUGGAACCAUUUCCCACGCGCAUCGUCACCUCGUCCUUAGCCAAUCUUCGCUUAAUCCGUAGUCCCCAUUUCGAGUUGCAAAUAUUAGCAACAGAACCAGUAUCAAAUAUCCACGUGCUACUGCGAGCAUUAGUAAGGUACACAUCAAUAACAUGUAUAUCACAUAUACCUUGGUUCACUUUGCCAUCCUUCUUAUCCGCCAAAUACUUGGGGCAGUUCCGCUUCCAGUGUCCAGUUUUGUUGCAGUAGAAGCACUCAGUCUCAGGCUUAGGUCUAGACUUGGGUUUGUUCUCUUGAGCAGCAACUUGUUUGUUGUUCUUCUUGAAGUUCCCCUUCUUCUUCCCUUUGCCCUUUUUCUUGAAACUGGUGGUCUUAUUGACCAUCAACACUUGAUGCUCCUUCUUGAUUUCUACCUCCGCAGCCUUUAGCAUUGCGAAAAGCUCAGGAAUAGUCUUGUCCAUCCCUUGCAUAUUAUAGUUCAUCACGAAGUUCUUGUAGCUUGGUGGCAGUGAUUGAAGAAUUUUGUCAAUGACACUAUCAUCAGGAAGGUUAACUCCCAGUUGAAUCAAGUGAUUAUUAUACCCAGACAUUUUGAGUAUGUGUUCAUUGACAGAACUAUUCUCCUCCAUCUUACAGCUAUAGUACUUAUUGGAGACUUCAUAUCUCUCAAUCCGGGCAUUUGCUUGAAAUAUUAACUUCAACUCCUGGAACAUCUCAUAUGCUCCAUGAUGUUCAAAACAUCGUUGAAGACCCGGUUCCAAGCCGUAAAGCAUGGCACACUGAACUAUCGAGUAGUCAUCAGCUUUGCUCUGCCAGACGUUCUUAACAUCGUUAGUUGCAUCUGCAGCAGGCCUGGCACCCAGCGGUGCUUCCAGGACGUAAUUCUUCUAUGCAGCAAUGAGGAUAAUCCUCAGGUUACGGAACCCAGUCCGUGUAAUUGCUACCAUCAUCUUUCAACUUAGCUUUCUCAAGGAACACAUUAAAAUUCAACGGAACAACAACACGAGCCAUCUAUCUACAACAAACGUAGACAAGUAAAAUACUAUCAGGUACUAAGUUCAUGAUAAAUUUAAGUUCAAUUAAUCAUAUUACUUAAGAACUACCACUUAGACAGACAUCUCUCUAGUCAUCUAAGUGAUCACGUGACCCAAAUCAACUAAACCAUGUCCGAUCAUCACGUGAGAUGGAGUAGUUUCAAUGGUGAACAUCACUAUGUUGAUCAUAUCUACUAUAUGAUUCACGUUCGAACUUUCGGUCUACGUGUUCCGAGGCUAUAUCUGUAUAUGCUAGGCUCGUCAUGUUUAACCUGAGUAUUCCGCGUGUGCAACUGUUUUGCACCCGUUGUAUUUGAACGUAGAGCCUAUCACAUCCGAUCAUCACGUGGUGUCUCAGCACGAAGAAUUUUCGCAAUGGUGCAUACUCAGGGAGAACACUUCUUGAUAAUUAGUGAGAGAUCAUCUUAAAAUGCUACCGUCAAUCAAAGCAAGAUAAGAUGGAUAAAGGAUAAACAUCACAUGCAAUCAAUAUAAGUGAUAUGAUAUGGCCAUCAUCAUCUUGUGCUUGUGAUCUCCAUCUCCGAAGCACCGUCGUGAUCACCAUUGUCACCGGCGUGACACCUUGAUCUCCAUCGUAGCAUCGUUGUCGUUACGCCAUCUAUUGCUUCUACGACUAUCGCUACCGCUUAGUGAUAAAGUAAAGCAAUUACAGGGCGUUUGCAUUUCAUACAAUAAAGCGACACCCAUAUGGUUCCUGCCAAUUACCGAUAACUCGGUUACAAAACAUGAUCAUCUCAUACAAUAAAAUAUAGCAUCACAUCUUGACCAUAUAACAUCACAUCAUGCCCUGCAAAAACAAGUUAGACGUCCUCUACUUUGUUGUUGCAAAUUUUACGUGGCUGCUACGGGCUUAGCAAGAACCGUUCUUACCUACGCAUCAAAACCACAACGAUAGUUUGUCAAGUUGGUGCUGUUUUAAUCUUCGCAAGGACCGGGCGUAGCCACACUCGGUUCAACUAAAGUGAGAGAGACAGACACCCGCCGGUCACCUUUAAGCAACGAGUGCUCGUAGCGGUGAAACCAGUCUCGCGUAAGCGUACGCGUAAUGUCGGUCCGGGCCGCUUCAUCUCACAAUGCCGCUGAACCAAAGUAUGACAUGCUGGUAAGCAGUAUGACUUAUAUCGCCCAUAACUCACUUGUGUUCUCGUGCAUAUGACAUCUACGCAUAAAACCUGGCUCGGAUGCCACUGUUGGGGAACGUAGUAAUUUCAAAAUUUUCCUACGCACACACAAGGAUCAUGGUGAUGCAUAGCAACGAGAGGGGAGAGUGUUGUCCACGUACCCUCGUAGACCGAAAGCGGAAGAGUUAGAACAACACGGUUGAUGUAGUCGUACGUCUUCACGAUCCGACCGAUCCAAGUACCGAACGUACGGCACCUCCGAGUUCAGCACACGUUCAGCUCGAUGACGAUCCCCGGACUCCGAUCCAGCAGGGUGUCGGGGAUGAGUUCCGUCAGCACGACGGCGUGGUGACGAUGAUGAUGUUCUAUUGACGCAGGGCUUCUCCUAAGCACCGCAACGAUAUGAACGAGGUGGAAUAUGGUGGAGGGGGGCACCGCACACGGCUAAGGAACGAUCACGAAGAUCAACUUGUGUGUCUUUGGGGUGCCCCCCUGCCCCCGUAUAUAAAGGAGCAAGGGGGGGUGGCUGGCCCUUAGGGCGCGCCAAGGAGGGGGAGUCCUCCUCCUAGUAGGAGUAGGACUCCCCUUUCCUAGUCCAACUAGGAAGAGGGAAGGGGGAAGGAAAGAGAGGGAGAGGGAGAGGGAAAGAGGGGCCGCGCCCCCCUCCCCUAGUCCAAUUCAGACUCCUCAUGGGAGGGGCACGCCACCUCCUGGGCUGCUUCCCUCUCUCUCUCCUCAGGCCCACUAAGGCCCAAUACUUCCCCGGGGGGUUCCGGUAACCCCUCCGGCACUCUGGUUUUCUCCGAAAUCACCUGGAACACUUCCGGUGUCUGAAUAUAGUCAUCCAAUAUACCAAUCUUUAUGUCUCGACCAUUUCGAGACUCCUCGUCAUGUCCGUGAUCACAUCUGGGACUCUGAACAACCUUAGGUACAUGAAAAUGUGUAAACUCAUAAUAAAACCGUCAUCGUAAUGUUAAGCGUGCGGACCCUACGGGUUCGAGAACUAUAUAGACAUGACCUAGAACUGUUUCCGGUCAAUAACCAAUAGCGGAACCUGGAUGCUCAUAUUGGCUCCUACAUAUUCUACGAAGAUCUUUAUCGGUCAAACCGCAUAACAACAUACGUUGUUCCCUUUGUCAUCGGUAUGUUACUUGCCCGAGAUUCGAUCGUCGGUAUCCAAUACCUAGUUCAAUCUCGUUACCGGCAAGUCUCUUUACUUGUUACGUAAUGCAUCAUUCCGUAACCAACUCAUUGGCCACAUUGCUUGCAAGGCUUAUAGUGAUGUGCAUUACCGAGAGGGCCCAGAGAUACCUCUCUGACAAUCGGAGUGACAAAACCUAAUCUUGAAAUACGCCAACUCAACAUGUACCAUUGGAUACACCUGUAGAGCUCCUUUAUAAUCACCCAGUUACGUUGUGACGUUUGGUAGCACACAAAGUGUUCCUCCGGUAAACGGGAGUUGCAUAAUCUCAUAGUUGUAGGAACUUUGUAUAAGUCAUGAAGAAAGCAAUAGCAACAUACUAAACGAUCAAUUGCUAAGCUAACGGAAUGGGUCAGGUCAAUCACAUCAUUCUCCUAAUGAUGUGAUCCCGUUAAUCAAAUGACAACACAUGUCUAUGGUUUAGGAAACAUAACCAUCUUUGAUUAAUGAGCUAGUCAUGUAGAGGCAUACUAGUGACAUUAAGUUUGUCUAUGUAUUCACACAUGUAUCAUGUUUCCGGUUAAUACAAUUCUAGCAUGAAUAAUAAACAUUGAUCAUGAUAUGAGGAAAUAAAUAAUAACUUUAUUAUUGCCUCUAGGGCAUAUUUCCUUCAGCGGACAUGACUGAAAUUCUAGAGAAGUAAGUUAAAUCGAUCAUUAUCGUACCAUAUCAGCAACUUUGUUCAUUUCCUGAUAUCAAGUAAUUGUUUUCUUUGUCUGGCAGGGUUUGGAAAAAAUUCACCUCAAAAACUCCGGGACUGCCGAAAAAGCUGCAAUUUAAACACCCGAAAGUAAGUACUAUAGUAGUAUGUUCCACGCAUCUCCUAGUGAUGCAAGCGCUAGUUUCAUCAAUACCAUUUAGUAUGCUUGAUUAUCAAUUUGAUUGACCUAUAUUUCUUGUAAAGUGGUUGUGGCAGGAACAAGGGAAUGAUUAUUGUGGAUACUACAUUUGUGAGUCCAUCCGCCACACGACCUGUGAGCGGGGCUACUCUGACAAACAAUAUGAAGUGCAUAAAUAAUAAUAUCACAAUUUUAUUUCAUUACCAUCAUUUAUGUUGAGUUUCAUUUAUUCAUAUAUAUGUAUUGACCCCCUUCUUCAAAUUAGAUAUUUCGGAUGCGGGAUGAACUCCUACCACCAGAUCGUAUGCGAGCAAUUCAAGAGGAAUUGGCGGCAUUCUUUCUUGACCACGUGAUCGAUAAAGGCGGAGAAUACCAUGUGGACCCUGAGUUCAUAUAUAAUUAGGAGAUUAUAUUGUAAGAGAUAAUUAUGUUGUAUAUAUGUAGCCAGUAGCGUCGGAUAGAUAUACGAGAACUUGUUGUUCGACAAAUCUCUGAAAGAAGGAGAGGUGGUCAAUAUCACUUCUCUCUGUAUGCAUAUGUUCAUGACGAUCUUCUGUUUCCUUCAUUUCCUUACUAGCUAGCGUGUCUAGUCCUCUCUAUACGUAUAGUACGUAGCGUCGACCAAGCACGGAGAUAACAGAGGACACUUCUCUCUAUUAAUUAGCUAGCUAACACAAUAUAUGAAACACCUAAAUUAACCCCCCAAAACCCCCAACCCCUCCCCCCCACUUUAAGAAAAAACCCAGCCCCUGAAAUGCUGACGCGUGGAUGCCUAUUGGUCCCGGUUGGUAUCACCAACCGGGACCAAAGGGCCUCCUGCCUGGGCUCGCCGAACCGGCCAUGUGGAGGCCCAUGUGUCCCGGUUGGUAUAAGAACCGGGACUAAAGGUCUAGGGCAUUAGUAACGACACUUUAGUCCCGGUUCAAUAACCGGGACAAAUGGCCCUUACGAACCGGGACAAUAGGCCCUUUUUCUACUAGUGGGACAAUUUCAUCAGCAUUGCUAACCAUUCUAUAGAAAGCCUUGGCAGAGGAGGUUGGUUCUUCAUCAAUUGGUGGAGGACAGUUGCCACCUAGGUCAACUAACAUAUUGUCCAUUCGGUCAAUUUCAUCGUGCCUCGCACAAUUUGUGGCAGAGGAAGAUCCAUCUUGGCUAGGAACAUACUUGUCACCAUGUUCUAUCCACGUUUCAUAGUUUUCUCUAAUCCCGUAUUUAUACAAGUGUUUCUCUACCUCAUCCUACCGUGCUUAUUAUAAUUACGACACUUGGCACAUGGACACUUGAUUUUACCACAUUCGGCUACACCGGGACAAGAGAAUGCAUGGUCUAGAAAUCGGUUGGUUUGUUCAAGCCAUAAGUUAGAAGGUAUUUGACCAUACUGCCAACCACUAUACAUCCAUGCAUGAUCUGCCAUCUAACAAAUUCUAUGUUGAAAGUGGAAUAUAUCAGCUAUUUGAUUAUUUAAUCUCAACACAUCAUACUUAAGAUGAGUUAUUCAACAACAGCAAUACAUGUGUAGCAAUUGGAAUCAAAUAGAUGUACACAUAAGAUAAACAUUUAAAGCUAAAAGUUAAAUGCUUACCAAAGGCUUGCUGAAAUAGUGAAAAAAUGUGGAGUCACCAAGCUGGCUAACAAACUCCCAAAGUCCACUAGCAGAUCCAAGAUCUAAUCC